CAAUAUAAUGUUCCUGCUUUUGGACUGGACCCUAUGGCAUAGUGAACACACCAUAGGGAACUAUAUAUAAAUAAAAUUUCAGUGGUAAGUGUCCUAUCUAUGUCUUAUUAAAAAGUCUUCGAUAUCUAUUAUCAUAUAUUAUAAUUAUCUUCAUUUGAUAAUUCAUCAAAAAGAAAUUAAUACUAAAAUUUAUAAAAAAAAUUUUAAAUUUAAAAAAAUAUAAUUUUUAGGAAAAAUUUUAAAUAUCAUUUCUAUAGUUUCAUACUUUUUUAUUUUCUAUGAUUUAGGCCCAGUUUGGAAAUUCCUAAAAACGUUGCAUAGUUAAAUUUUGCUAUGGCGGUAGGAAAAAUAUCCUAUGAAGUGUUUGGGAGAAAAAAAAGUAACGUAAAUUUUGGAGCAUAGUUAAACUAUACUCUAAAAAAUAGAGUAAAAGUAUAAUCCACUCUAACCGAAGAAAAAAAAAUUUCACCAUUCUUAAGCUCCCUUCUUCAAAAAAUGCAUAAGUUCUAAUUUUUAAAUUUCAACAUAAAAUUUUAAAUUUCAAAAUAAAUUUUAAAUUUCAAAAUAAAUUUUAAAUUUCAAAUUUUAAAUUUAAAUUUCAAAUUUUAAAUUUUAAAUUUUAAAUUUCAAAUUUUAAAAUUUUAAUCAAAUUUUAAAUUUUAAAUUUUAAAUUCUAAAUUUCAAAUUUCAAAUUUCAAAUCUCAUAGUUCAAAUUUCAAAUUUUAAACUUUAAAUUUUAAAUUUAUUUUUAAAAUUUUAAAUUUUAAAUUUUAAAUUCUAAAUUUCAAAUUUAAAAUUUAAAAUUUAAAAUUUUUAUUUUAAAUAAAAUUUAAAAUUUAAAAUUUUAAAAUUUAAAUUUCAAAUUUCAAAUUUCAAAUUUCAAAUCUCAAAUCUCAUAGUUCAAAUUUCAAAUUUUAAAUUCAUUUUUUAAAUUUCAAAUUUCAAAUUUCAAAUUCUAAAUUUCAAAUAUCAAAAUUUAAAUUUUUUAUUUUUUAUUUUAAAAUUUAAAAUUUAAAAUUUUAAAAAUUAAAUUUAGAUUUUAGAUUUUAUAUUUUAAAUUUUUAAAUUUUAAAUUUUAAAUUUUAAAUUUUAAAAUUCAAAAUUUCACAUUUCACAUAUCAAAUUUUUAAUUUUAAAUAUUUUUUGAAAUUUUAAAUUUUAACUUUUAAUUUUAAAAUUUAAAAAAUCCCGUGAAAUUGCACAAUGCGUAUGCAAACAGUUUAAAAAUUGAAUCUGUGGAAUUUUUUAGAGUUGCAGGAUUCUCUAUUUUAUCUAGACCAAAACCACAGUUUAUAAAUUCCGCAGAAAUUUUUUAAUGUGCAUCCAAACAGGCCCUCGUAAUUUUAUUUUUCUCUUUUUAUUAUCUCAUCUAUUAAUUUUUUUUAUUAAAUUAGUGAUAAAGUUAAAACUAAAAUAUACUAAAGUGAAUAUUCAAUAAACCUAGGUGAGGUAUGGUGAAGCUAACGAAAAGAAAAAACCAAAAUAACAAAAUACUAAAUUAAUCUAUUUUAAAUUACAUAAUAUUAAAAUAAAAAAAUAUGAAACUACGGCAAUGAUAUUUGAAGUUUUUUUUAAUUUUUAAACAGAGAAAAAUGAACAGAGACAUUGUUGAAGGGCUUCUUAAUGAAGCUUUUUCUAUUAUAUUAUAUAAUCUAUUAAAAUGUCAUUUAUUACUACAAUGUAGAGCAAUGAUUUUUCACCUACUCCCCCUCUAUAGACUCAUAAUCUCUGGAGGAGUCUAGAGCCUCUAAGGCCCUCCUAAAACUUAGGUAGACAAUAAUUGUUAGAGUGACAUUUAUCUCAACCUUAUCCUCAAAUCCUGCAAAAAGAUAAUCCCCCACUCUCUUUGCCCAUUAAUAGCAACUAGGGUCAAACCACCAUUGCAUAUUUGUGUAAAUUUUAUUGGGUUAGAAUUUUUUUUAUUUUUUUUGUACACAACAAUUUUUAUUAUAUGUAUAAAACUAUGCUUGGAUCUCCUUUUUAAACAAAAACAAAAAUACUUUAAAAGUGUACUAAUUGAUUGUAAAAAUAAAAAAAAUAUAAGUUUAUACUUCACAAUAAAAACUAUUUGAGUACCCAAAUAUAUACAUAUAUUUAUAUAUUUAGUGAGCUUAUAUUUAUGAUGAGUUGUGCUAGAACACUAUCGGCAGCAAACCGGCUCCAUAGCCACCCAUUUGUUUUCAAUGAUGGAGCCUUCGAAUUAACGAUCGGCACCGUUGAAUAUGAUCUAUACCACUUGAAGUAUUUAGAAACCAAAUUUCAAAUCUUUUUGAUAUCAUUAACCUAAUGAUCAAAAGGUUUCAAAAUUUAUAAUUUUAAUGGUAGAUAUGAGGUGUUUUCACGUUUAACGGUGUAAAACUAUCCAAAUCAAUUGAAUUUUGGUUAGAAAAUUCUUUAAACUAUUUAGAACAAGAUCUAUACUCUCGAUCUUGAUUAUAAAGUUUCUAUCAUCACUUUUUAGAAGAUAUUCAUUUUCAGCCGUUCAUUUUUACACCCACUUGAUGGACAAGAGAAUAAUAUCGGAAAAACAUGAAAUUUGAUUUCUAGAUAAUUUAAGUGGUAUAGAUCAUAUUCAACGGUGCCGAUCGUCGAUUCGAAGGCUCCAUCAUCGAAAAUAAAUAAGUGGCAACGGAGCCUAUUUGCUACCGAUAGUAUUCUAGCUCAACUCUAUUUAUGAUAAGACUUUCAAAUACUACCGUUGAGACUGUUUUAAAUUUAUAUGUUUUGCAUAAUAACUAACGGAUUAAAUUAUUUGAUCAUGUGAGCAGGUCCUAUCAAAUAUUUAUAACAAGGGAUUAAUUUUCAUGCAGGUCUCUAUAAACAUAGUAAAUGAUAAAUAUAUUUCUACAAAAUUCGACUUCCAUAUGUUGUUCUGUAAAAGUCUUAAUGUUUUCAAAUAUAUUCCUGCCAUUAGAAUCCGUUAGAAAAUUUUAAUUAAUCAUAGGUUAAAUAAUUAACCCUAAUUAGUUUUUGAUAUUUCUACCUCUCUUAUAUUAUAUUGCUAUAGCUUUUAGAGUGAUAUACUUGUGAUGGUAAAAUUGAAAAUAUAAAUAGUUCUCAAACGGUUAUUUAACGGUAAUAAAUCAGAAAGACAUAUUUGAAAACAUUAAAAUUUUUACAGAAACAACAUAUAAAAGUUAAACUUUAUAGGAAUAUAUUUGUCAUUCACCAUAUUUACAGGGAUCUGUAUGAAAUUAAUAAAGUAUCUAAAUUUACAUACAUACAUCUUGAAGUCAGAUGUUUAAAUUUUCAUGUAUUCAAAUUUAAGACUUUGUAUUCUGAACUAUAAUGUUGAUAUGUACAGAUACUUGGAAGGAUUCAUCAAAGCAUGCGCAUGCGAGAGAGAUGAGAAAAUUAAGAUGCCACAAGAGAAACAAUGUAGGUGUACUUCAAAAUGAAUACUAAAUAAUGAAAUAAUAAAAAAAAAUUAAAAAAAAUGAUAUAAUAGUAAAAUAAAAAGCUAAAGUACAAAAAAUAAAAUAAAAUAUUCAUUGUUUCAUUUCUACGGAAAUUGUGUUGGUUUAAAUGGGUCAGCAUCCAAUCAUGUGGCAGAAAGCUAUAUUGAAUCGAGUCAUAUUCGAAAUUGCGUGAGGCUGGAUUGGUCGAGUCAUGUUCCAAGUGGCGUGAGGCUGGGUGGGCCGAGUAACAAUUGAAACUCGUGAGCGUUGUAUGCGUACGCUUUAAGUGAAUUGAUUGUAUAUUUCUAACAGACCAAGCUUUUGGGAUUAAUGGUUAGCGCCAACGAUCCGACAAGUGACAUCAGAGCCAGAGGUCACGGAACAAGUGGUAUCAGAGCCAGAGGUCACGGAUUCGACUCUCGCAUGCUCAAAUAUUUGCAGGUGCUAGAGGGAGAAUUGUUGGUUUAAAUGGGCUUGUAUUCUGUCCUGUGGCUAGAGGUUAUGUUGGGUGGCAUGAGGCUGGGUGGGCCGAGUUAUAAUUGAGACCCGUGUGUGCUGUAGCUAUACACUUUAAGUGAAUUGGCUGCGUAUUUCUAACAGCGACAAAUUAUACAUAUAUUCUCUCUUGAAAAAUAAUUAAAAAAAUACAAUAAAAAUACAAUAAAAACUGAUACUUUAUAAUGUAUGUCUCAAAGUUGGGUAACAUUUCCCCUCAUUUGAAUACACACAUUAAUAUACUACGAAUUUCUAGAACUAUUUACCUAUCUAGCCUCUUUACAAAAAAAUAUUUCCUAUCUAGCCUUCUUUUGAAAAAUAUUCUCCAUCUAGCCUCAUUUUCAAAGAUUAGAGAAAAAAAGAGAAAUUAAUACCUUUAAUAUAUAUUAAGGGGUUAAGUGGGGGAAAUUAUCUUUUUCUCUCUCCUCUCCUAUUUCCCGAGAUCCCUUCUCACUCUCUAAUUUUUGCGUAUAAUUUAUCUCAUAUCGAUUUAUUUCAAAAUAGAAAAUUUUUAUAUAGCGCAUCAACCAAUUCCAAUCUUUUUAUAUUUUGAUGGAAAUGUUAUGCAUGGUUCGGAAGGAGUUGAUUAUAAUGGUCCUGAUCCAAAACUAUUUAGAUUUCUCGUAUUUUAGGUUUUAAUACAUUAAAACAUAAAAUUUAUAGGCCGAAUGGGAUCAAGAUUAUUUUGAUAUAAAAAUUAAUGGGAGAGGAGAGAGAAAAAGAUAAUCUCCCCCACUUAACCCCUUAAUAUAUAUUAAAGGAAUUAAUUUCUCUUUUUUUCUCUAAUCUUUGAAGAUGAGGCUAGAUGGGGAAUAUUUUUCAAAAGAAGGCUAGACAGGAAAUAUUUUUUUGUAAAGAAGCUAGAUAGGUAAAUAGUUCGAAUUUCUACGUGCUAUACUCCCACUAUACCCAAAAGUUACGACGCGCAUCACUCAACCAAUUAUAAUACGACACGUAAGCAAAUUAUUCGCGGUGCGUGGACGCGGCGCACCGCGAACGUUCGGAUUACAUGACCGGUGUUCUGGCCGAACGCGCGAUCUCGGGCCCCGCGGUGGGGCCCGCGUCCCCCCACCUCCGAAGGAAUUCUAUACUGUCACACUUACACCAUAUCACCAAUAAUAAGCAAAUCACAUUCCUUCUUUUUAAAUAUAAGUACAAUAAAAAUAUUUUUUUACAAUCAUGAUAGAACAUAUAUUCUUAAAAGGAUUAAUUUUAUUGAAUUGUUACGCCAAGUCACUAAUAUACCUAUUGCAUACUAGAAUUUUUCCCACCCAAGUGGCCCAGUGGCGCGUUCGGGGGAUGCGCUGACAACUCUACGCGUGUACGGCCGGAUCGGCGUCAUCUGGAAUCGAGCCCGCCCCCCAAUCGCCGCCGUCGCGAGGGGACACGUGGAGGGCGGGUGCGGAUCCCGAGGCGCGUGCGCGUGGGCGUCGCAGUUGUUGCGGAAUAAAAGGUCGAGGAAGGACGGGGCGAGGCGAUAUUGAUGUUGAUAUUCUCACCCCACACCAACCCCAAAUUCACCCUUAUGUAAAUUUUUUAAGUGUAAAAUGCACUAUUGGUCCCCAAACUAUGAGUUGGUGAUACUUUGAUCCUCGAACUUUAGUUUAAUAUAACUUUUGAAUCGCAUUAUGAAAUGCGUACGUGAUAAUUAAAAUGCAACUUUACUUUUAUAUCAAUGAUGAUAUAUAAAUAUUUAAUCAACUAACUAGGGUUGUGAUAUUUAAUUAUAAUAAUUGUGAAAGUCCGUCAAAAUUAUAAUAAAUUAACGUAUGGGGACUAAAAUAUCACCCUAUUUUUAAAUUAUUUUAAUGGAUAAAGAAAAAAUGGAUAAAAUUGGCACGUAAAUAAUUAUUAAGCACAAACUGGUAAUUCUACAAAGUAAAGAGGAAGUUAAAUUAGUAAAUGUGAGGAUCAUUAUAAUUAGAAAAAAAAAAAUAGGGGAUCUAGUUUUAAAGAGUUGAUUUAACUUUAAAAAAUAUAAUGAAUUAAUAAUUAUAAACUUUUUUUUUUUUUUCAGAAGUUAUGGAUAGUCCUUAAUUUUCAAAUCCUCUUUUAAAAGUUAUUAUUAUUGGUAGUCCUUAAUCUUUUAAAAUGGAUAAUUUAAAUUAUUCGAAAAGUUAGAGCUUGAAUACAUUGGUCGUUGGAUCUCAGCUACCAAACAUUAAGUUCUUAAGAUGGUACGCAAGGACGAUCAGUGGACUUUUGAUACUUUAAAGAUAAAUUAUAAUUUUAGUCUUCAAUUUAAAGAGCAUGUGAUAUUUUAAUUCUUAAAUUUUAAUUUAUUAAUAUAUUAUAAUUUUAUUUUUAUUUAUAAUUUACAAAUCACAAAAUAAUAAAGUAAAGGAGAAACUUCAAAUACCCCAUAUGGUUUCGCUCUUUCUCACUUUAGUAUUUUGUGGUUUAAAGUUUAUCAAGUUAGUACCAUGUGGUUUCGCACUUUCUCACUUUAGCACCCUGUGAUUUCGCACUUUCUCACUUUAGUAUCUUGUGGUUUAAUAUUUCGUUAAAUUAUAUACCCAAAAAUGAAUAAUAAAAAGAGAAAAUUGAAACCACGUGGUACUAACACAGGGUACUAACUUGAUACACUUGAAACCAUAGGGUACUAAAGUGAAAAAGUGUGAAAUCACAGGGUACUAAUUUGAUACGCUUUAAAUCACAUGAUACUAAAAUAAGAAAAUACGAAACCACAUAAGGGUAUUUGAAGUUUUUCCUAAAGUAAAUAAAAUAGACUAGUAUGUAUUGUAUUUUAUAUCACUCUAUAGUUUAUCGAGUAUAUUACUUUACUAUAGUUGACCUGGUACCCGUCAUAAUUUUUUUCUCAAUAGCAAAAGUAUAUUGAAUUGCACAAAUUUUAGACAUUAUUUAUCUAAUAUUUAAGUGGUUUCAAAAUAGGGAGGCAAAUGGAUUUGGAUUGGUGGAGCUUCCGUCCCCAUCCAUUUGAAUGGAACAGUAAGUGGGGUUCAAAAAUAAAUUAAAAAAUAAUAUGCCUUCAAUCUAUUUUGAUCGGCUAAAAAAACUAAGCGAAAGGUGGAGAACAUAUUCUUUCCUUUAAUUCGCCAAAAAAACUAGCUCUAAGUCGGACCUGUCCUGAAUAGAACGGUAAGUAAGUGCAAAAAAUAGAUAAAAAUCAACCCGCCACAUGUCCAUCUCGAUCUGUCCAUACAGGGCGGAAUAUAAGGGAACUCCUCUCGCCCUCAGCUCUGUCCCGUUUAUUUUUCUGUUUGAAACAAUGGCUAUAUACGGUAAAUUUGAGGCCACUAAUUGCUAGAUAAAUUAUAUCAAAAAAUUAUAAAAUUUAAGUUUAAUAAAAUUUAUAUAGUUUAGAUUAUAUUUAACGAUGUUCGAUUCGGAUGCUCCAUCGCAUGGACGAAUGCAAAAAUAAACAAUUUUAUUUGCUUCCAAAAUUAUUAUAUUCUGUAUUAUAUUUAAGGGUGGGAUGGGUCCUCCCCUCCCCCACUUUUUUCUUGGUGAGUUGGGGGAGGAUUCUGGGCGAAUUAAUUUUCUUUUAUUUUUUAUUUUCACUUAUCGUUUCAUUUAGGAUUAGUCGAAAUGAAAGUGUAUUUGUGACGGUAUAUCUCACCUACCAUCCUAUUAUCGCAGUGGAGUGGAUUCGAGCAUAUCUGGAUUCGUUUGCAUCUCUUAAGGUAAAUUAAUCGCCUAGUGGGGAGCUUCUUGACGACGCUUUACCAGAGAACUUCUGAUUCACUGUCACUUGUUAGUUUUACCUCGGUUUAAUAAUUCGCUGUAUAUUUUCUAAUACUAAAACACCCAAAAAAAUUCUAAUGCUAAAAAAAGCUUAUAAUAUUUGGAUAGACGUCAUAAAAUAAAAUUGAUACAUAAUAAUAAAAUUACUUCACUAAAUUUUGCCUUGUCUUUUUCCGAAAAGUAAUCAUGCCGGGAUGUGACCACCUCUUUUAUCUUUUUAGUAUUGAUUGCUCACGUUCCAAUAGGGGUAGUAAUUUAGCUCGUUGUUCACCAAUUAAUUUUUGUUCGGCUUAAAAUUAGCUUAAGAUCAAAUCGCAUAUUUAGUUAACGAGUCGAAUAAGAGCUAAAUUUUUCAACUUAUUUAAUAAACAUGCCGAACACGAGUUGGGAUCAGUUCAAUCGUAUUUGGCUCGAUAACAGCUCGAAUAUAUAUAUUUUAUACGUAUAUUAUUUAUAUUUUUAUAUAUAUAAAUAUAUAUAUAUAUAAAAUACAGAUUUUUAUUAUUUAAUUUUUAGCAUAAUCUAAAUAUAAAAUUCAACUCAAUUAUAAAAACGCCUAUUUAUAUAUAAAAUUUUAACUAUUAGAUUAAAAUCAAUGAGUAAGAUUCUAUAAAUUUAUUUUCUAUACAUCUAUUUUUUUAUAUUUUUAAUUUAUUAUUCAUGAGCUAAUUUAUAUUUGACUCAUUAAUAAACGAAUCAAAUACGCGUUGAAUUUUUCGUGGUUCGUUAGCACCCCUACAUCAAAUACAAAGGUAAAAAAAAUUAUUUAAAGAGAAUGUGAAAUAGAUUUUUUAGCAUAUUUAAUUUCAACAUUGCAAUUCUGACAUUUCCCGUCUCUUCACGUCACGCCGUGUCCGCCAAUGGCAUCCAUUUAUGUGUAACUAAAAUUUUAAAUUAAUAACUACAAAACUUUUAAUUUAUUUAAUUUAAAUUAUUUAAAUAUAAUUUACCUAUUUAAAUUAAUUAUUUAUUUUAAUAAAUUUAUAGUCGUAAAAGUUAUAUAAAAUAUAUUAAUUAAAUUUAUAAAAAUAAAUAAUAGACUCGAAUUCUAAAAUUAAAAUGUUAUUUACCGACUCAAAUCAAAUAAAUUGAAUGGCUGAAUAGCAAAAUCAAAAUUUUGAAAUAUCGAAUAGAAAAAUCCAAAUGGUUCUUAAUUCAUAUAAACUUUAUACAAUUUUAUCAAAAAUAAAAUAUUUAAAAUAUUUAUUUUUAUAUUCGUGGUGAUUUUAAAAAUGUAAAUGUUUUAAAAAUGUAGAAGAGCUGAGCAGUUUUUAUCACAACUUUGUACUAUUGAAUGGUAGAAAAUUGAAAACUUUUUUGAGUUUUUGAAACAAACUUGUUCCACAAAAAAGUUGGAAUAGCAGUAUGAGAUUUAUACUGGAUUAUAUCAGUUUAUUUUAGAAAUUUAAGAAUUAUUGUUUUCGAAUAUCAAACACAAUAUUUGAAAACAAAAAGGGGAAUAAGGACUUAUUCCCCUUCUUGUUUUCGAACCAAACGCAAUCGCUAAGGUCCAAUUUAGAAUUCCAAUAUCUAAUGUUAAGCAUACACUUUUAUAUUUUAGAAUUAGUGUCAAAUUUAAAAGUAUUUUUAAUUAUAUCUUCCACAAUGCUAUCAAACUCCAAUAAGAAUUGCCAUGGGAGAAAUAAGUGAUUAUUUACUUCUAUGCUAAUGGUUCUCACAAUCAUUUUAUAGUAUUAAAAAAAUAAGGAAAAAUUUUCUUUAUACCCUUCUAAAAGCAUCUAAUUUCAUAAAUGCCCUUUUAAAAAUUGAAAUAUCAUGUAUACCUCCUCAAAUUUAACAAACUUUCAAAAAUACCCCUGCCAUCAAAUCUCCAUCCGUAUUAAAAUUAAUAAUAUUUAUAUUCCAACUUUACCCCACUUAAUUAUUCAUUGGUCAAUUAAUAAUUUUAUUUCAUAAAUACCCUCUUUUAUAUUUCAAAAUUAAUUAAAUUCUAUCUAGACUAAAAAUUUAGUAAAAUUCAAUUGAUUUUAGUUUAAAAAAUUAUUCAUUUUAAUUAAAUAAAUAUUUCUAUUUGGAAUAAAUUAUAGUUAAAUUAAAUUUCAUUUUGCUUUAAUGUCAGAAUGAGAAGAUAAUUUAUUUUAGUUAUAUCUACUUUUUUUACUACAUCGAUUGUAAAGUAAUAAAUUUUUUUUAUUUGACUACUUAAUAUAGAGAAAAUUUGUUAUUAUGAAUACAUUACAACUAAGAGCAUUAGUAUAAAAUCCGACCUCAAAUAAAAAAAAUAGUUAUAUUAUGAAAGGACAAACUAAAUUCUUGUAAUCAACGGACUUUACAUAAACCAAUAAUUGUUUUAAAUAAUAAAUUGAAAAAAUUUUAGAUAAUGAAAAUUUUUCACAAAUUAAGAUAAUUAUUCCAUUAAAUUUAAUACCUUUGACUAAUUUUCAGUUGAAACUAGCAUAAAUUCAUUUAAUAGUUAAUUAUUAUUAGCUAAUUAACCUAUUAAUUGAAUUUCUUUAUUAAUUGAUUAUAAUAUUUGAAAUCUGAAUGGACAAAGAAAAUUUUUUAAAAAAUGGACCACGUACAUUUAUAUGCCCCUCAACAGUUUAGGGGCAAAAUGGAUAAUUUUAUUCUUAACCUUUAUUAUAUCAUGGUAUAACUAAGAUUAAAAUGAGUUGAGGGUAUUUUUGAAACAAAGUAAAUAUUUGUAGGGGCAAUUUUGAUACUUCAAAUUAUGUAAGGGCAUCUACGAUAAUUUUGAACUUUUCAGGGGUACGAAUGAAAUUGCCCCAAAAAAUAAAGAUGUUCUUAAAUUUUUUGGAUUUUCUAUAACAUGAAACUAAUGCUUUCAGACGCUACAAAUGCUAACUAACUAGAAAGCAUAAAUCAAGUGUUUUUGGUGAUGCAAAUUCUAAUUUAAUAGGUAAACUAUAUGGAAAAAAUUUUGAAAUUUAUUUUUUAGAAACUUUAAAUUUCUAAAUCAAGUAAUCUAACGGAGCCAAUCGUUGAUUCGAAAGUUUUAACAUUGAAAAUAACCCAUCAUGAUUCUAAAAGCAUACAAGCCUAGCUCAUAAUUUUUUGAUACUUUUUAAGAUCAUCUUUUUGCAAUUUUUUUUUCCCGAAUUUGUUAAGUUGAAUCAGCUCGAUAAACUGGCAUAAACUUUCCGAUUAAAAAGGGCGUUUGGUUUGAUGUAAUCAUAAAUACAGUAGCAUUCGAAAUACAUAAAAUUAUUAGAAAUGUAAUAUUUUUUGUAAUUGAGAAUGUUGCAAUUUGAUUGUUUUGUAGUUGAAAGUUGUAUGGCCAAUUUUUAUUGCCUUACGUGUAUGCAUAAAAUAAUAAGAAUAUUCUUAAAAAUAAAUUUUUUUAUUUUUUAUUUAGUCUUUAUUUGGGAUUACGUAGAAAGUACGUUAUAUACUAUGAGAAAGGACGAUCAGAAAAUACCUUUUUAUUUUCGCACGUAUUAUUGUGUUUCAUAUAUCAUGAUUAUUUAGUUACGAUAUAUUUUCUGCGGUCCCAUUGAAAAAAAUAUAAGCAUAUUCGUAUAUACUUUUUCCUUAAUUCUAUUUUAUAUAAUAGUGUUAUAUAAAUCACAAUACCAAACUAAAUCUUAAUAUAAAUACAUAAAAUAAUUUUUAUAUUAUUUUACUCUCUUAAGUUACUGUAUCUCUAACUAUACUAAUUUCAGAGUAGUAGUUUGAGAUAUAAUAUAAUUGAGCCCCAACUAUAGAUAAGAUUUUUUUAAACCUAACUAUAAUCAUACUUUUAUUUAAUUUAAUUUAAUAUAACAUGAAAUAUAAACAAUCAAACAGUUUUUAAAUGGGCAUGCCAAAUCUUGAAAAUAAUAAUUUUAUGAAGAAGAUCAAAAUAUGAGACAACAAAUACAAUAUUAUAUUUAUGUACACUUAUUAUUAUACGAGCGCAUUGGUCUUAAUUAAUUAACAAUUUUGAUUCUAAAGUACAUAAUAAGCGGUUUUGGACCAAACCACCCUCUCCUUUAACCCAAAAAAUAAUAAUAAUAAUAAUAAUAAUAAAUUGCUCUCUCUCUCCUCCUUUUAUACAACCCCUUGGUUUCCAAAACCAGUACUACUACUACACCAACUCCCACAACCCAUUUUUCAUAGUGGGGUGAGUGAGGUAGAGGAGGGGGAAACUAAUUUAAAGGAGCAAUUUUUAUUUGAUUUUUGAUCUCAAAAUGUGAUUUUUUUUUUCCAUCUAAUUUUGGGUGUUUCCUUCAGAAAAAAAAAAUCCGAUUUUGGUGUCUCUUUUUGAUUGAUUUGGGUGGGGGUUUUGCAUGUGGAAUUUUUAUGGAAAAAACCCAUGUUGGAAAACUGAGAUUGGUAGUAUUCAGAUGCUCUUUUCUCUUCUUUUUUUUUGUGGUUCUAAUUCAUGAACAUUUUGAGGUAUUAUAAUACCCUCUUCUUUUCUUUUCCCCCUAAAAAAACAAUUUUGGGUUGUGUGUAGUGUCCCCCCCCCCCUCUUUUUGAGGUGCUUUGUGUUCCCUUUAAAGGGUUUUUUUUUUUUUUUCUUUUUUUUUUGGGGGUGCUUGAGGAAGGAAAUAGUGAAGCUUACAGGUCUCAAAAGCCCAAAUCUUUCUCUGGUGAGUCCUUUUCCCUUUCCCUUUUCUUUUUCUCUCUUUUUUUUUUUUUUUUCCUUUGGGGUGUGUUCUGUAACUUAAUCAUCUUAACCUCAUCCUCUAUAUCUUCCUCUCCUUUCUCCAUUAAAGAAGAUUUGCAACAAGUUUUUUUUUAAAAAAAGUUCCUUUUUUUUUCUUGUUUUCUUGGUUCGUAGACACUACUAUUACUAUCAUCAUUAUUAUGUUGAGGAAGAGAUCAAGAGCAGUAGGAGGGAGCAGCAGCAGCAGCAGCAGCAGCAGCAAACAAGGCAUAGUAAUGUCAGAACCCCUCCCUCUAAACCAAGAAAAAUUCAAGCCCAACAAGCUCAAUCCCUCUUCUCUCAGACCCCAAAACCACCCCAAACCCCCCCAAGAUCACUCCUUUAUUGGAGCCCACAUCCAAGGGCCUUGUUGAUGCACUCACCACUAGUGAUGAUGAUCACAACUUCCCCCCACACCAUUCCCCCAUCUCCUCCCAUGAGGCUAGGAGGAGGAGGAUGGUCCUCUUCGGAUCGAAGCUCAAGAUCCAAAUCCCCUCCCCGAACCCUCCGACCCCGUCCCCGCGAUCCCCGAUCGAGUUCGGCUUCAAGAACAAGGACUCACAGCUGGCCCUGCUGUCCCCUGCCCAGAGGGCCCUCCGCGGCGCCGCCUCCGCCAGGCUCGUCGCCGCCAACUUGGUCGUGAGCGAUUUGGAGCUCUCCGAGGACUACACCUGCGUGAUCUCGCACGGCCCGAACCCCAAGACCACCCACAUCUUCGAUAACUGCAUCAUCGAGAGCCGCUGCUGCGGCUACACGAAUGAGAGCGAUCUCGCGGGGAGCCGCGGCGGCGGCGGCGGCGGUCUCUUGAGCUCUUGCCAUGCAUGCAACAAGAGGCUUGGGCAAGGGGAUGAGAUUUUCAUGUAUAGGUUUGUGAUUCUCUCUCAUAAUUUUCAUUUGCAUAUAUCUUUCUUUUUCAACAGUACUGAUCGUCGAUUUGGAAUCUCUGCCGUAGCAAACAAAUCAGUAGUAACCCGAGUGGUUUAGUACAAUAGUAACCCAGCACAACUCUAUAUAUAUGUAUGUAUUUUCAAGGGUUAAUUUCAUACAGCUCUCUGUAAACAUAUCAAAUAGCAGAUAUAUAUAUAUCCUUACAAAGUUCAAGUUAUUAGAUUUAUUCCUUCAAAAGUCCGGUAACAUUCAUACUUGCCCCUUUGGUUUGGUACCGUUAGGUUUUUUUAACGGUGGGUGCAUAAAAUUACUAUUUUACCCGUACAAAUUUGUCCGUACAAAAAGCUAUCUUUCUUCCUCUCUCACCUUCGCCGUGGCACCUACGGCGUACUUUAUUUUUGCCGUGAUCGGAGGCCUCACCUUCGACAAUGCUGCCGCCGCAAGUCUUGCCGUCGCCAUGAAUAAAAUAGAAAGGGUGAGAGAAAUGACAGAACUCAACAUUAGAAUAUAAAGUAUAUAUUUGUAAGGGGUAAAAAGGUCAUUUUAACCCCUUAGCUAACUGUGGUUAAUUGUUUUAACUCAUGGUUAUCUAAAUUUUGGUAACAGAAAGAUAUAUUUGCAAAUGGAAGGACUUUUGGUGGAAUAAAUUUGAUAAUUUAAAUUUUGUAGGGAUAUAUUUGCUAUUUGAUAGCUUCGUAGGGAGCCAUAUGCAAUUAUCCCUAUUUUUAAUAUCUUAUUAGUGGAAAUUUUUAUUGGUUUGGGAAUUUAGGGUGGAUCAACAACUUGACCUGAAUUAGGCAAUAAUAAUUAAGGUAAAAAAUGCCAUUUUUGAAAUAGGCCCCUCUACGUUUUUGUUUUUGUCCAAACCCCUUCUUUGAUUCGAGUAAUUCUACUAAGUUCAGUUGAAUUUUUUUUGUUGAAUUUCAUGGCUCUAUUCGCUAUUAGGCGUAAGUGAUUAGAAUUAUUAAAUUUGAUGAAGUUGAGGAGGUGUCAAUAAAAGAAAUGGGGGGGUCUACAUGCAUUUUCAGCAAUUUUAAUUAUGAAAUGUGAUUCUUUUUCUGUGGCUUGUUAAUUUUCUUCUGAUCUGAUGCACCAAUCGUAAUUAUCAUAUUAUUUCGAUUGCGACACCUCAAUUCUAUGUCGCUUUUAUUAUUGUGAAUUCAAGCAUCAGUGACUAAUUUCUUGCUAUGUAGGAGGUCGAAUUCCUAUCCGCAAAACAUUUACGUGACAUUACCCGUGACAUUACCGAAAGCGGUCCCAUGUCCUUUGUAGUUAUCUUUUCUUCUUUUUUUUUUAUCCUCAUUUUUUGUGGUCCCCAGUUUUCGUAGAAACUUCAUUUUCGUCGAACUUUUUUUGCUUAUUGCAAUUGCGAAUAUAUUCAUCCAGAUAACCAUAGAAUGUGUCGCAUCGACGAUUUUAUUCAAAGUCGCGGUAAUUUUUGUUCCUGCUUCGCAGUAGUUAUUUCGAGAUCUAAACGUUAUGCUACUCACAAGUAAUUAGAUUGUGAUAUUCUAGUAGUUUUGAGUUAUGCCGCGCUUUUAACAUGUCAGAUGCUGUAACUUUUGCUUGCUUUUCCGUCGAAAUUUAGCAGAAUCCGACUCCGUAAACCAAAAUAACAAAGCAGGCAAAGAACUUUUUGAAAAUUCUAAGCACAUUGGACUGAUCAGUACCUGCUCUCGUUGUUUCUUACAGAGGCGAAAAGGCUUUUUGCAGCAGCGAGUGCCGCCACCAGGAAAUGAUCUUGGACGAAGCGAUGGACUAAGCAGCAGAAGGAAGUUGCUUCGUCGCAACGCGCUUCUGCUUCUCCUCCCCCUCCCCUUUUGCUGUAAAUUCGAGUGGGUUCAUAUUAUGGCCUUAGAUCCAAAUGGUUGGAAUAGAGAUUUCGAACAUCGGUUCGGAUUAUUAUUCGCAAAUUUUGCUGGUGAGUUAAAUAGUGAGGGUGCUGAGAUGAAAUGUUAUUGAAACCUGGAACUUGUUGAGAUCUUUAAGUUAUGGAAGAUGUUAUAUUUAACUCUCUGUAUUGUGUUAAAUUUGAGAAUGCGUAUCUAGCAGUUAUCUUCAUAAGAAAUUGUGGAGUGUGUCAGGUGCAGUCAAAAAAUAUCAAGCAAUAAUUACUAUAAUUUGACUGCACCUGACACACUCCACAAUUUCUUAUGGAAGAUGUUAUAUUUAACUCUCUGUAUUGUGUUAAAUUUGAGAAUGCGUAUCUAGCAGUUAUCUUCAUAAGAAAUUGUGGAGUGUGUCAGGUGCAGUCAAAUUAUAGUAAUUAUUGCUUUAUAUAUAUAUAUAUAUAUAUAUAUAUAUAUAUAUAUAUAUAUAUAUAUGUUGUCAUUAUCUGUGUGUCCUUGUUCUUAUCAAAGAGAGGAGCAUCAUCUUAUUAAUCAUAUAAAUUUUAGGAGGGGCCUCAAUAAUUAAGAACAUUUGAGGUGACCAUUAUAGAUAGUUUUAAUUACUAAUUAGAAACUUAGGGGCCAGUGUUUUGUUUAAUGACUAAUGGUUGGUAAUUUCUGCAGGUAAUGGUAAGAUGUUUUUGGUGUGAAGUAUAACAAAAAAAAUAUAAAUAUACUGUUUUUUUUAUUAACUUAAAUUUUUAGAAAACUAGGGUUGUUACAUAUAUUUUAAUAUUUGGUUUGUGUGUUAUUGUUGGAAAUGGAUGUGGGGAUUUGAUAACCAUAUUUGUUGUUAAUAAUAUGAUUGUUAAUUUGAGAUUUGUGGUUUGAUUUUUAUAUCCACUUUUAUAUAUUUUGUUACAAGUAAUUUAUGAAACUGCACACCAAUAUCUUUUCUUUUCUUUUUUUUUCAAAUUUUUAUGUAAUUAUUUGGUUUAGUUUCUGUAAUAGCUUUUCGUCUCUGCAAGGUAAUAGUUAGUUAAGUGGUUAAUAAAUAAAUAAAAAAUAAUAUUUUAUUUAUUUACAUUUAAUUACUAUUCAAAAUUUUUGUAUCUUUUUAAAUUUAAUUAUAUUAAGUAAAUUUUAGAAAAAAUAGAGAUAUUUAAAGAAUUUUUUUAAAAAAUCAAAAGAAAUAUUUUUAUCUUUUCUUCAGCUUUUUCGUUAAUAUUUUAUUAAACUAUGUAUAAAAACUUCAGAUAUCUUAUCUAGGUUUAUCGAAUAUUUAUUUGAGUACUCUUUAGUUUUAACUUUAUCACUGAUUUAACAAAAAAAAAUUGGUGGAGGAUAAUAAAAAGAGAAAAAUGAAACCACAAGGUACUAAAUUGAUACACUUAAAACUAUAGGGUACUAAAGUAAAAAAGUGUGAAACUAUAAGGGUGGUAUUUGAAGUUUUCCCAAAAAAAAUAUGGAGAGUUGAGGGUCUUUUCCAAAACGGACUAUAGUUUGAGGAGUACGGUGACAUUUUCAUCUUCCUUUUCCUCGCUAUCACGGGCCCAGCCCAUUUACUAAUGGUUAAGCCGUUCAUGGGCUAAAAUGGGCCUUGUCCUAAUGUCAAAUUUAGGCCCAAUUAUCUCUCGAAUUUACAAAAGCACGAAUCAUGAAACAAAUCAGUAGUUGCGUAUAUAUUAUAUAUAGUUAUAUAUUAUUAUACAUACAUUGAUAUAAAGUUACUGAGAAAAUUACACCGUACUUUUAUACUACAUAUAAGAUAAUGUGAAACUACUUUUUAUUUCUAAAAACUUAAGUUACUCAAAAAAACAGUUUUGUAGAACUAUAACUCAUAUUAAGGUUAUAAUCCUAGCACUUCUCAAAUAAAUAAAUAAAAAAUAAAUAGAUUACACGUUUGGUCCCCAGAUCGUGAGGUGUGGGACGAUUUAAUCCAAAUAAACUCAAGUUACAAAAUAAAAUCAAGCAUAUACAGUAGUGUGCAAUUACUCGAUAAUAAAUUGAAAACGGUCGAAAAUAAAUAGAUUUGUUUAAAAAAUUAUAUUCGCAUUCAUAUUUUUUAUGCUAAAAUUUUACAAUUGCAUACGCGCACCCUAUCGAAUCUGAUGUCGAAUACAGUCGGAAUUUAUCCUAGUACUUGUCACUUCCACCCCUAAUGAUUAAUGGUAUCAGUAUCCAAGAAGCUGAACAUGACCACGUCCCUGCUCUCCCCCAUCAACACUGCAUACUUCCGCAGCAGUCCCUCCCUCUUAAACCCUACCUUCUCCAGCACCCUCUGCGACCUCCGAUUCUCCGCCGCCGCGAACGCCUCCAGCCGCUCGAGCCGCGGCCGCUCCGCAAAUAUCACCGUGACCGCUGCCCUCACCGCCGCCGUCAUGACACCCCGGCCCCACCACUCAUGCGCCAGCCCGUAGCCCAUCGUCGCGCGGUGCGCAUUAUCAUUAUUAUCAUCAUCAUCAUCAUCUCUGAAUACCGAAUUUAUGGAUAUCCAUCCGACGGGCCGGUCCGUGCGGCCGCCGACGCAGAUCGCGCGGUACCACGGAUGGGGGAUGAUGUGGCUCCGGAUGUGGGCCGCGGCCGCGUCUUUCGUCGGAUACGUCGGGCCGAAGAAGCGCAUCACGCGGUCGUCGGCGGCCCACAACAUGAAGGCGUCGGCGUCGGCGUCGGAGAGGGUGAAUGGACGGAGGGUGAUCUGCGGAGGUGGUGGCUUCUUGGCCUCAGGCUCCAUUUUACCACAAAGUUUUAGGAGUCGAAAACAAAGUUCAGUAUUCAGAGGGAUGCUUCAAUAUACCAUAAAUAUUAAAAUUUAUGUGACAUGUAAAAAAAAUUCAUCCAUUACAUAAAUAAAUAUAAAUCAUGCAUUUAGAAAUAGAGUGUACACAUAUCUUUUUCCUUAUAUAUAUAUAUAUAUAUAUAUAUAUAUAUAUAUAUAUAUAUAUAUAUUGAAUGAAAUUGGAAUAUUAUUGAUAGUAUAGAAAAUAAUAUUUCACGUCUGCAUUUUAGUUUUGGAAUACCUCGAGUUUAAUGACGAUAUAGGUGGAAUAAUAUUGAUCUUAGUAUUCUAGAUAGAGUCGUUAAUAAUUUUAUUAACUAGUCGAUAAUAUUAAUUAAAUUUAAUUGUAAAAAAAGUUUGAUAAUUUGAGCAAAUCAUCUCAAAAAACAAUAAUAAAAAAAUAGUAAAGUUGAGGGGACCAUUUCAAAAUUUAUUAUAUUCGAGAGGGUCAAAAAGGAAUGGGAUAUUGGGAUACAGUUGGAUGGAAUUGACUUGUGGGGGACCAAUAAGCAUACGUCGUGUGUUAAAUUACUUAGCUACACCGGGUGUAUAGGUACAUCUCAUACACCACACAGUCAAAAUGUUUUAAAUCCGAGCAUGUACCUGAUUAUAUGUGUUCUAUAAUGUUAAAAAAACACCCUUUUUUUUUUUUCUCCCUCUUUAACUUUUUUUUUUUCCGACCUGUUUUGAUCCCUAGUCCUUUUGAUGGGAGCAUCGAGCGUAUACACCCGGUGCAGGCAAUAAUGUCUGUGAACUGAAGGACCAACUUGGUGCUUUAUUAAUUGCAAAAUAAAAAAAAUAAUGCAGCCGCCAUUGUUGACUUUUGCGCUUUAAUUAUCGUCCGUUGAAGUGUCUAGUUCACCUCUAACGUUUUGCUAAAAAUAUCUUUUUUUUGACAGUUUAAAAUUUUAUAUCAUACUACAAAUUCUACAAAUUUUUGAGUUUAAAUUUUUACUGAUUAGAAUUAUUUUUAAGGUCAUAUCUUACCGUAAAUUAAUCCGAGCUCUGUCCAAUCCGACUUGUGAACAAUUAGCUUCAGUUACUGGCAGCAGAGGAGAAUAUUGACUUAAAAGAGAUUAACAUCUUGGCCUCCGGUGGGAAAUCAAGUUGGGCUAAGUCACGAUCGAAAUGACGGAAGAUCGGGUUGGACUGAGCCAUGUUCGAAAUGGUGUGAGGCUGAUUGAAUCGAAUCACAAUCGAGAUACCACAGGCACCAUCUCUAUAUACUUUAAGUGAAUUGAUUACGUACUUUUAACGGUUCUAAUUUUUAAAGUUGAUAAUUAGCACCAAUUAGGAUUAUACAGAAAAAAGCUAAAAUAAAUUUUUGCGUUCCAAGAAAUACUUUUGUGGAAACUCAAUAAGAGAGAUCCAUUGAAGCAAAUCGGAGAAAAUACAACUUUAAUGGCAAAUUAAAGCUCCACACACAAACAAUAUCAUUGGAACUAUAUAACUAUAUAAGCAACAAGCCCCAUUUACUACCCAAGCAACCUAUCACUCUUCAAGAAGCUAUACACCACCAUAUCCCUCACGCUCCCUUUUUGAAUCCAAUACCUCCUCAACACCCCCUCCCUCAUAAACCCUACCUUCUCCAACACCCUUUGUGACCCCCUAUUCUUCACAUCCACUAACCCCUCCACCCUCUCCAACCCCUCCACCGCGUCGAACACCUCCGCCACCGCGAUCCUCACCGCCGCCGUCGCGACGCCCUUCCCCCAGUAGUCCGACGCGAGGACGUAACCGAUCUCCGCCCUGCAUGCGUUCUCGCCUGCACCGGGCGUUACAGACACAGCACCCACGGGUCUCGCACCGACGCAGAUGGCGCGGAAGUAGGGGUGGGGGAGGACGGACGACUCCAUGUAGGCGAGGAGGUGGGACUUGUCGGUGUAGGCCUCCCACCGGCAGAAGCGGGUCACCUUGUCGUCGGAGGCCCACACCAUGUAGUCGUCGAGGUCGGAGAGCUCGAAGCGGCGGAGGGUGAUCGACAUCGUCGGCGCCGCGGAGUUCGCAGGCUCUUGUUGUUGUUGUUGUUGUUGUUGUUCCAUUUUGUGUAGAUGGGGGAUUAUGAGGAGGAGAAUUGUGUUGUUGAGAUGUGUUGUGGAGUAGUUUCAUUUUAUAGAUUGAAGAGGGGGAGGGGAGUUGACGCUGAUCAAAUUUGACCGGUCUCGUUGACUAAGUCAACGUUUGACUAAGGAGGCGAAAAGACUAAUCUACCCCUAUAGUUUUUACACGUAUAGGCUAAAUUGCAUAUUUGGUCCUCAAACUAUUAGCGGCAAUACUCACUUGUUCGCAAACUUUUAUUUGUUGUAGUUUUUGACUCGAAUUUUUUGAAUCAUUGUGAUUAAGUCCAAUAAUCCAGUUUAGUUGUCUACACUCUGCAUAUUAACUGUCGCCUUUGCGAUCCCCUUCCCGGGGUGCAGCAGCAAUGACACGUAGCUCAUCUCGUCUUUGCAUUUGCUAUCUAUCUGUUGAAUAUAAAAUAUUAAAAUAUUAUUCUAUAACAACUUAGAUUUAGGUAUAAUUACCUACAUAUCUCUUAAAAGUAUUGGACUAUUAUUUUGAUUCCAAAAAGUUUAAGUGGCGAAAUCUGUCUCUUUAAAGUUUCUUCAUUAUUUUCAGAUUAAUUUCAUGCUCAUUCUAACUGUAGAUCAAAAUAAGGAGUAAGUUUUAAAGACAUUAAAACUUUGUUGGAUAAUUUUUAUCACUUAAAUUUUGUAGGUAACAUAUAUGAAGGGACAAAUGAUUUUUUUUUUUUUUUAAGUAGAGUUUACAACUACUUUUGAUAGUAGAUUAAGAGAACUUAUAACUUUGUAGGGAAAGUUUUCGCCGCUUAAAUUUUUUUAAAAGUAAAUAUGAAAGGUGGGUACUUUUAACUUUUAAGAGGUACAUAAAUAAUUAUCCCUCAAAUUUAAGACUUUGUUUAAUGUUACUAUCUUCUUUUGCUUUUUAGAAUAUAAAUUUUAUAUUUUAAAUUUGUUAGACAAUCAAAAAAUCAAAACUUAGCAUAUAUCUGAAUAUAUUUGAUUUAUUCAUGUUUCAAAUUUGUCGCUGGCUAUUUUCUUAUUUGCUUCUAGAACAGUAUCAAUUUCUUCUCAAUAUGUCUGGGCCGUCGAGAAUUUAUUGGAAAGAUUUUAAAUUUUAGAGCUAUAUUUGAAAAAUAGAUAUUUUUGAGAAAAUAUAAAAAUUGCACCAAAAAAAAAUUGCUAUUUGUAUAUCUUCUAGUAGGGCGUUCAUUUUAAAUCCUAUCCAUCUCAGGGACUACUCUUUUCAAUUGUUACUAUUUUUGGAUUAUUAUUUAAUCCCAUUUUUAAAACAUUAGUAAGAUUUACAUCUCUAUUUGAAGCGUACAAGUGGAAAUUUUCAUAGGACCAAAAUUAAAUGUCGAGGGAGUAAUUUCAAAUAACCCUAUAGGUAAGGGGGUUCUCCGCAUAUUUGUUUUGUAUUUUUAAUUUAAUUUUUAGAACAGAACAAGCAGUAAAUUUCAAAUACCCCAUGUGGUAUCACACUUUCUCACUCUAGCAUCCUAUAGUUUAAAGUAUAUCAAGUUAAUCCCUGUGGUUUCGCACUUCUCACUUUAGUACCCUGUGGCUUAAGUGUAUCAAGUUAGUAUCCUAUGGUUUCAUUUUUCUCUUUUUAUUAUCUAUUUCACUAAUUUUUUCGUUAAAUCAGUAACAAAGUUAAAAUUAAAGGGUACUAAAGUGAAUAUUCGAUAAACCUAGAUAAGAUAUCUGAAGUUUCUUGUAUAUAAUUUAACAAAAUACUAACGAAGGAAAAAAAACAGUGACAAAGUUAAAACUAAAGGGUACUAAAGUAAAUAUUCGAUAAACCUAGGUAGAGUAUUUAAAAUUUUUUAUAUAUAAUUUAACGAAAUAUUAACAGAAGAGCCGAUGAAGAGAGAAAAAUGAAACUACAGGGUACUAAAUUAAUGCACUUAAACUAUAAGCUAGUACAGUAAGAACGUGCGAAACCACGGGGUGGUAUUUGAAGUUUCCCCCAAAAAAACACGAGGUGUCGACAAAAUUGGGGAAAGCGGAGCAUCAGGGGUUCCACCACUCCGCGAUGGCUCCUCCGAAGAAAUCGAAGAAGCCGAAGCGAAAAUCCAAGGAUUCUGCUGCAUCUGGAAGCAGAAGCACCGCACAGAUCGGCCCCGCGGAAGCCAAAAACUUGGAGACCGAGUGGUGGUACAGCUUCUUGCAGAAGCAGAGCGAUUCCGGUAAUUUUGAUCCAUUUUUUUCGGCUCAUUUUUCGCUCUAAUCCUUCAAAAUCUCCGUGGGUUUUGUAGAUUGUAGGUGAUUCUAGCCCCCAAGUUGGUAAAUUUACUUGCUUUGAUGCGUUUUUAGUAGAAAUUUCUACUAAUUAGAUGCUUGAUUACGCCUGUCAUUCAAUCUGACAUGCAAACCAUGUGCAGUUCCAAUCUCUGGUUCAAUAUGACAUGCGAAUACGAAGGGAAAAAGGGCACGCUUUUAACCAUUCUUUGAGCUAAGGCCCGAUCUGGAUGUAGGUUUUUUUUUUUUUUUUUUUGGGUAUGAUUGGAAGGGAGGAGUUUGAUUUUUGCUCCUUGAAAGGUCUUAAGCAUCCAUGAUUUGAUAGGAUAGCAUAUUUCAACCUGCAUGCGAAAUGUUUGAUCUUAUUCCCGAAAAAAUAACUUACGAUCCUGUUUAGAUGCGUAAAUAUCUUGUUUAGUGCAUCUCCAUGAUUUACUUGAAAAGCUUGUACAUUUCGUACGUGAGAAGUGUGUUUUCAAAGUCUAAAAUUGGAUACUUUAUUCGAUAUUCAAGUUGUUUUUUUCCGGAAAGGGUAAAUCACCUCGUAUAUGAAAUAUACUAUUCUACCAAGGCGUAAAAAUCAAACUCCUUUUUGUUUUACCAUCAUACUAUAAAAUUCUUAUACCGAAUAAGUUAAUUCUUGGAUAACUUAUUUCUGACAUCCGAACAGGACCUAAGUGAAUUUAAAAAGAUGUGUUGAAUAAGAUGUUCGUGCAUCCAAACAGAGCCUGAAAUAUACUGGGAAUGUUUAUUACAAGGAGAGAACAACACUCCAUCUCUUGGUGAAUGUAUUUGCUGGUUUACGUGUAUCAUCCAUCGACUCAACACUAGAAUUUGUUUUCAGAACCUGUGCAGACUCGACUUAAACAGUCAUCAUCGUAAAAAACAAUGAUAAAUGAUCUUCUUGUAACUCUCCUCUAAUUUUUUUUAUUAUGAAUUUGGAUAUUUAUUAGUGUCUUAUCAAAUUUUCCUUCUCAGCUUUUUUUUCGGUGAUUCGUUUCUUAGUUGUGUUUUGUCUUCUAUGGUCCACAUUUUUCUGCAAUUCUGGUCUCCAAAAUGAUGCAGACAUUUGCAGCUAAUGACAUUAGAAAUUUCUCCCGAGCAAAUUUUCCUGCAAUAGAGUUGCUUGAGUAGGUCGAUAUGGUGGCGAUUUCUUGUGUUUCCGUUACAUAUUAUCUUUUCAAAACCUUUUUGCCGACCUAUUUGUGAAAAGUGUCUAUACUGAGCUACAGAUAGUAAAGCAUGUAAUGAACGGUUAGUCAAAUAAAAGAUAGAUGAUUUUUGGAAUGUAUUAGAACUAAUAGCCUUCGACUUGCUGCAAAGAUAUGUUCCUUUGUCCAUGAAUGCCUUCAAUGUGAUCAGAUAUGUUAGUUUCUUGCAGAAUGGUGAGUUAUCACUAUUGCAGUAAGCGGGUCGGUACUCAUUUCUCUUUUCCUUCUCUUUUUCUGUGCGUGAUCAAAUUGCGACGCUUCUCUUUUCUUCUUUCAGAGUAUUGUUUGAUUGUAGUUUUCCUCUCUGAAUAUUGUUCCUUUAUGAAUAGUUUUGUAGUCUUUAUUUUUUAUCUUUAUUAUAUAGGUUAGUGUUUAGGUAGUUGAGCCGAAAAAUGGGAAAACUUGCGGCGCUUUAGUAAGUGGGAUGGGACAUAUUUAUAAAUCAUUGUGUUGCUCGUAGCUUCUAAAGCACUAUCGUUUAACAUAGAACUUACAUUAGAGAUUUUAUACCAGAGACAGAUUUUGGACCUCAGACCUUUCUAGCAUGAUGCUACAGCGCUUCCUUUGCGUAUUUUAGCUGGAUAUUUAUGUCAGUUCAACCUUUCUAGCUAUUACUUUACCAUGUUUCGCUAUUGAUAGCUCGGCAGAGUGCAAGAAAUAUUAGAGCGGAAUAUGUUAAGCAACUUUUGCCUGAUUAGCUUGCCUAUUUGUAUGAACAUCUUUAUUUUCUCUCUCAAUAAAUUUAUAAAACAUUGAUUUCAAACUCAACCUACAGGAGUAACUAUUCCUCCUGACGAGGGUGAAGCAUUCAAACAUUUCUUCAGGAUAUCAAAGAAAACCUUCGAGUACAUCUGCUCUCUUGUGAGGGAGGAUUUGGUGUCAAGGCCUCCUUCCGGCCUCAUAAACAUCGAAGGGAGGCUUCUUAGUGUCGAGAAGCAAGUCGCCAUUGCCUUGCGAAGGCUUGCAUCCGGCGACUCCCAAGUGUCUGUGGGCGCUGCUUUCAAUGUUGGCCAAUCCACGGUUUCCCAGGUGACAUGGAGGUUCAUCGAGUCGAUGGAAGCUCGCGGCAAGCACCAUUUAAACUGGCCCAACCAAGCCCGAAUAGAGGAAAUCAAAACCCAUUUCGAAAUGGCUUUCGGCUUGCCCAACUGUUGUGGGGCCAUUGGCGCAACCCAUAUUAUAAUGACUUUACCUGCAAUAGAAACAUCUGAUGAUUGGUGCGACAAGGAGAGAAACUAUAGUAUGUUUUUACAAGGGGUCGUCGACCAUGAGAUGAGGUUUCUUGAUAUUGUAACUGGUUGGCCAGGAAGCAUGAGCAUCUCCCGCCUUUUGAAGCACUCAUACUUCUUCAGGCUUUGCGAGAGCGGUAAGCGCUUGAACGGGCCCGCGAAGAAGCUUGUAGAGAACGAGGAGAUUAGGGAAUACAUAGUAGGGGAUGCGGCCUACCCUCUUUUUUCAUGGCUUAUGGUUCCUUAUGAAGGUAAAAGCCUAUGUGCCUCGAUGAACACAUUCAAUGCCGGGCAUACAGCAGCGAGAUCACUCGCGUCAAGAGCGUUGUCGCGGUUAAAGGGCACGUGGAGGAUACUGAACAAGGUCAUGUGGCGGCCGGAUAAGCACAAACUGCCCAGCACUAUCCUUGUUUGCUGCUUGCUUCACAACAUUGUUAUCGACUGUGGAGAUGAAUUGGAUGCUGACGUCGCCCUACCGGAACAUCAUGACGUCGGAUAUGAGGAGCAGAGUAUGCAGCAAGAGGGUUCCUUGGGGCAGGCGAUGAGAGAGAUCUUAACAAAAUAUUUGCGGCCCAUUUGAAGCUCCUUGUUAGAAAUGAAUAUGCUUUUAUUUCUUUUGCAAAUGUUUUGCGCAAUGCUGUCGCUUAUCUUGCAAGUUUGAACUUGUUGGUUCUCGGCAAGAUGCUCAUCUGAUGCUAAAUGUUGAUUCAAUGAUAAUCAUUCUCUUCCCUACCUAUUAUUCUCAAUACUUACUACUUAUUUCCCAACCUUACAAUUGUUACAAUCUGGUCCUAAACAUUCAUGUUGUUGCGACUUCACCAUAUCGCUUAAAUUUUUACAUUGAAGUAUACAUAAUCAUCAUAUCAUUUGAUAAUUAUGUAACUGGAAUUCGACAGGAAAGGUAAGAUUGCAACAAAAAGUAAAGAUUGCGGACCGAACUGUAACAAUUGUAAUAAUAUUCAUUGAUCAUGCACAUACAUCCCUGAGAACUCAGAAUGAAAGACAUGCAAUAGCACACACAUAUUCACAUACAUGAACUGAAAACAGAAUACGGUGAGAGGCAGAGGCUGCGAGGAAGAGGAUGGCAAUUAGAGAACACGCCGAUUUGUUGCAGGAAAUUCCGUUCGACGGUUGGCUCGUAGUCGAAGGUGUGAUCUUGGAUUCAACCCCUGCAUCAGAAAUAAAAGGUAAAAAUCAUGGAAUUUCAGAGGAUUAGAUUGUAUUCAGAGUAUACCUGAUUACAUACUAAUGUUUAGUACUUUUUCAUUUUAUGUAAAUCAUCGUCGAACCUGACGUACCGGUCGGGAUUGAUGAUGUCGACGGCGGUGUGGUGCUCCUCGGGGCCGACGGUGUGGAUGGGGUCUCCUGUGCAGAGUUGGUCGGGGUCGACGGUGUUGCUGGUGCCUACGGUGUCGGGCUGGUCGCGACGCCUGGUUUGGCAGGGUUAGCGGUAGCUGCCGGAGACUCCGCUCGUGCACCUGCUGCAGCUGCGGUAACCAUUUAAAAGAACACAAUUUUUCGAUCCGAGUGCCUUCAAUUCACUUGUUAUGAAAAAAUUUACAAUGGCUUGUUACAGGUAGUGGUGUUUGAACCUCACAGGCACCCGGAAGCUCGAGGGCGCGGGUUUCGCAAAUGAUCAUGCCAGGGGAUGAAGCGGGUGGCUGAGACCGAACACUGCCCGCAAGCAUGGAGCAGCACGAGGAGGAGGGCGCCGACGUGUUGCCCGUGAGGAAGUCGAGGCAGGGGGCGAGGCCCACGAUCACAGCCGCACAGUUGGAUUGGGCCGAGGCACAGUUCGCGAGCAGUAGUCCCACUGUAGCCAAGGCUACAGUGAGCAUCGGAACGCUUGGAACCAUUCUUUCUGAUUGGAUUGGAUUGGAUUGGAUUGGAUUUCGAAGGGGUUAUAAAUAAUUUUGAUAGACGAAAAAAGGAAAGAAAAGUUGAAAUUGGGUUAGUUUUGGUGACCAACUUUUCCUACUAGAACUGUUGUGGGAUGUUGAAAGAUCCAUUUUUGUGUAUAAUAAAACUAUUAAUUAUAAGAGAUUUGAGUAGGUGGUAGUACGAUUAGUUAAGGGUAGUUAUUUUAUGUUUCCAAUAACUUUUCCGGGUGACAAAAAUUUCAAACUCCGAAAUUAAUGGAAUAAAUUAUGCUAGGAUUCUCAAAUUAGUAGCACAGUUGGUAUGUUUAUUUUAAAAAAUAUAUAAAAUGUCAUUAUAUUUUUGCAUGCCAAUUUUUUAUUUUUCAAGGUAUUGUAAUUUUAGUAGUUAUACUAUUUCUCCUCUAAAAUGGAUAAUUGAAAGUUUGGAAAUGUGAUCCACGCUGUUUAGUUUUUAGUCUUUAUGGCAAAUUUUUUAUCUUGGUACCGUCACUAUUUAGUGCAGUUGGUAAAUAUUUCUCUUUCGGGCAGCGUGAUUUAAAUUUGAUUUCUGAUUCAUGAAGGAUGCGUGCAUGUGUGUGACUCACGUACAUCUAAAGAAAAUUAAGAAAAAACCUCAUCAGUGAAUAACGAGGUUAUGUAGAGAGAAAUUAAUAUUUCCUUUUGGGGCAGAUUCGGAGUGAAUUUUAAAAAAUCUUAACCCGAGUACCAAAAUGAAAAUCCAAACUCGAACCCGAACCCAUCAGAUUUUGAAAAUUCGAAACCAAAAUCAAAUUCGACAAACAAACCGAAACCUGCAAAAGAACCAAAAAUUUGAACCCAAAAUUAAUCAUUUUUUCGCCAAAUUUUUAAAAACAUAUCAUAUGCAAAUCUAAAAUUUUAAAGUACAAAUUUAAAUUCUAUAUAUUAUAUAAUAUAAUAUCUGUUGGGAUUCGGGUUUGAGUUGAGUGGAGAUAAAAACGAUACCCUGGAACCUGAAUCCAUGGACUUUCCGUUUUUUAUACCCGUAAUGGAAACCAUACCCGUUAUAGUACUUGUUAAACGCAAAGCAGCUCUGUUCGGGUUGAGGUUCAGAUAAGAUCCUGGGUAUCCGUGCCCAUUGACAUCCUAAUUUCCUCUGUAAUGUAUACAAUUUUUUUCCCCCAUCCAAAUUAGUUCAAAUUCAAAAUCUCAGCUUGUACAUUUUAGCCAAGCAACAAUUGGCCCGGCCCAGCCAAAUUUUGAGAACCUUUGCAUCAAAUACAUGGUGCGUAGUCCAGAGUAGGGCUAGUAAUUCAGUUUGCUGUUCGUGAGCCAGCUCGGGCUUAGCUCGAAAUAAGCUCGAGGUUGAUUUAAUAAACGAGCCGAGUGCGAGCUAAAAUUUUCAGCGCGAAAUUGUAACGGGCCGAACCUGAGCUAGGUUAAGCUUGCUCAUGUAUUACACGAGUCGAAAAUAACCUGAUCGUAGCUCGCUCGUAUUAGGCUCGUUGAUAGCAUUAGUCGGAGGAUCCCACACGUGCGUUAUAAAAUUAUGUUUUCACAAAACCGUUGUAGAAAUUAUUUAUAAGAAUUGCUUUGCAGAGUUUUAUUGUAGGUUUUUUAAUCAUAUUUUAUCUUCUUUAAAAAAAAAGACUUUAAUGUAGUCUAAAAUAACAAAUAAUAUUUUUAUUCAACCAUCCAAAUUACAACAUCUACAAAAUAUAAAUCCCAAAUAUCAAGAAUACAAAACAAGCAUGAAAUAACCAAAAAAAAAAAAAGAAUACAAAACAAAACAACAACUACACUCAAACAAACGACUCAAUGUGAUAAGUAAACCACAGUACACAAUAUAAGAGACUGGAGCAGUAGUAAUCCGUAGCACUCUAGAAUACGGCAACGGAUACUAAAGCCGCAAGGAAUAAGACGGAAAUCGUCGCCGACUUUGUAGAAACCCCAUCGGAUGAUUGGGCUGUGGUGGAAGGAGUGGUCUUAGAGCCUGUUCCUGCAUUAAAAAAAAAAAAAAAAAAAAAAAAAAAAAAAAAAAAAAAAAAAAAAAAAAAAACCCUGUAAAAAUAAGUUCAAAAAUUUAUUAAGUAUUUGUUUUAAUUUUUUUAUAUUUUAUUAUUGAUUUAUUGGCACGAAGGUGACAAAAUUUAGAUUUUAUAUUAUUUUAUUUAUUGUGACCAUCGUUGUUUAGAACAGUUAGUUAUUAUCUUCUUUUUCAAACUAUAAUAUUUUUGUUUAUAUACUGCUUCGAUGUUGUGUACGCUAAUUAACUUUUAAUUUUAAAAUAUUAAUCAUUAGUAAUAGUAGGGACAAUAAUCUAAAAGUGUUCGCUCAACUAGUCCACCUACUCUUAUACGUACCCACUUAUAGACCAUUCAAACCCAUAAUUUUUUUUAAAAAAAAAUUGUGUUGCAUAAUUUAAAUUAACUUUAGUAGCCAUGCAAUUCACCUGAGGCACUUGGCACUGAGGGUGUGGUCGGCGUCGUCGGCGUCGCAGGCGUGGUAGCGCCACUUGGCAUUGUUGGGGUCUCCGGCGUGGUCGGCGUCGCCGGCGUGGUCGUAACAGGAGUUGGAGAAGCAGUCGGCGAUGCAGCCGGUGCGCCGGAAACAGCUGCCACAAUCAAAAUCAUUCCUCCAAUUUUAGCCCAAAUUCAACUCAAAUUCAAAAUUCUUAGCGUAGAUUCAGAUGUCGGAAUAAGUUAUCUCAUAAUAAUUCGCGCUUGCUUACUAUAUAUAAAAUUUGCUAUUGUAGUAGAUAUCUUAACAUUAAGAGAUAUACCGAAUAAUAUGUUCAUGCAUAUAAUGUGAGAGAUUUGAGUUUACGUACCGUUGCAUUGGCUAACCGGCGGGGUUUUGACUUUGCAGGCACCGGGGAGCUCGAGUGCGCGAGUGUUGUUGAUAGCGACACCGAGGGACGAGGCGGCGCCACCCAGCACGGCACAGAGGCACUGCGGCUGAGACUGCAGGAUGCUGGAAAGCGCCGAGCAGCACGGCGAGCCGGGGACGGAGGUAUUGCCCGUCAUGAACCCUAGGCAGGGCGCCAGGCUGAUGAUCGCCGUCACGCAGCCCGUCUGCGCCACGGCGUAGCGGGCCGAGAGGAUCGCAGUGGCGACAGCGAAGGCGAGGCCUAGAGACAUGAUUUUGUGGGCCAUUUUGGGGGAUGAUAACUUUAUAUGAAAGUGUGUAUCUAGUGAGAGUGUGUGAGAUGUUGUUGUAGAGUUUGUGUUUGUGUUGUGAUUGUGGAGAGGGGGGGGAUUGAUGGAUUAGGGUUUAUAAAGAGGUAGGGCGGUGAGGGUGCAAAUUGGGAACCAAAUUGGUGGCCAACUUUUUCUACUAACAACUCUAUUUGGACUUUGAAAACAUUUUGGAGGGAGAGUGUGGUGGCAACUAAUAAUUCUCAAGUAAAUUAUUGCUUAUACCCGGUGCAUCUAAAAACUUCUGUCAUUCAUUCCAUCUCAUCCUUCAAUUUGUACAGUCUUAACUGUUAUCAUAGCUCAUCUAGUUUUUAGAUCAGAAAGAGACUGUAACUCAGUGUGGGGCUGGAGAUUGAAGUAUAAGAUGACACAGAUGAUGGGGAUAAUAUGUGGUGCGUAGAGUAUGUAGACGCACCGGGUGCACGAAAGGAUUUUCAGAGGGGUGUUGGUAGGGAUAAGCUUUGUUUUUUUUAUGGUUGGCCACCAUCUCUCCUGCCCCCUUGCUUGUUCCAACUAGAAUAUUCCUAAUUUUUUUUUUUACUACUAUUAUUUGGACAAAAUUAAUUUCAAAAACUAUUUGGACAAAAUUUUAUGAGAAAGCUCUCCUAUAAUUAUUAAUAUAAGUGUUAAUAAUAUAUUAAUAUUAGUCCUCAAAAUUAUUUUCUUCUACCCGAAAAAGAAAUAUGAUAAUUUUAGGUUAAUAAAUUAUUCUUAUAUUUUUGUGCAUGAUGGAAGCUAUUUUAUUUUUAAUUAACUGUUUCAAUUAUCUGUUGCAUGAAAUGCUUUCCAAUAAAUAUUUUGCACUUGGACUAAUCCAGUCCAUGUGUGAUGUGGUAAACCAAGUCCAAUAAGUGUUUCUCCUACCAAUCUUGCAAAAAAAAAAAAAAAAAAAAAAAAAAAAAAAAAAAAAAAAANCUUUUUUUUUUUUUUUGUCUAAAUAGAGUUUAGGAAGGGAGUGCUCACCUACUUUGCUUUCCUUUUAUUUCAGUGAUAGAACAUUCCAAAUGUAUAUUAUGAAUUUAGAUACCAAAUUUUAUAUUUUUCAAAAUUAUUUGUGUAGUGACCGAAAGUUCUCAAAAUCGAUAAAUUUAAUGACUGAUGUAAUUCGAGUGUAAGAAUAUAUGGUGUUCAACAGCCCAACUUAGAUAAAUUUUGAUUUUUUUUUUCACUAUCUAGAAUAAGAUCAGUACUUCUACUUUAAAAUUUAUUUUUCAUUAUCAUUUUAAAUAAAAUUUUUAUUUUUCAGUUAUUUAUUUUGAGACCACUUAGUCGUUAGAUAAGAAACGUUAACAAACCGUAAUAUUUGAUUUCAGAUACUUUCAAUAAUAUAGACUAUGCCUAUUAAAAUUAAUCGUGGAUUCAAAUGUCUUAUCAUUAAAACAAAGCAUAAAAAAAGACCUCAAUUUUGACACUAUUAAAGAUAGGGCUACACUAUUACGUACUUGACCAGUUCACCAUUAAGGUGGAUUAGGUAAACUGGUUAAUUAAUCCUUUAAUAAUUGAAGCAUUUUGUCUAAAUUCUUAAUUAAUUGUGCUUUAUAUGCAAUCAUAUCUUAUAAUAAUAGUUAUAUUAAUCAGAUAAUCACAUAUAAUUUUAAUUGUACCAAUGCAUGCAUGUGGUUGCUACAAAGAACUGUUAAAUUAUUGGUUUGGUGAAAGAGGCUCACAUGAAGCUCAUUAUCGAUAAGAGGAGACAAGGAAAUGAUUAAAUAAUAAUAUUCUUUAUUAAUUUUACAUGUAAUUAGUGACAAUUAGGGUUUAACAUGCCAAAACUUUACGUCAUUAGCUAUGUUUAUGUGCGUAAACUAGUUUAUAUAUAUAAAAAUGUGGAACUAAUUAAAAGUUUACCUAAAAAAACUCUUGCUAAGUGAAACACUCGAAAUAGAUUUCUGAGGUCCAAAAAUAUUAAUUCUAAUUAGGAUAUAGUAUUGUUUCAUAAAGUUUUAUUUACAAAACAACUGCAUCAUACCCAUUUGAAUAAUUGGGCGCCACAUUUUUAUAUAUAUAAACUAGUUUACAGAAAAAAAGAUAGCAUAUUAUAUGCUCCGUUCAUAUUUUUAAGAAAUGAAUUUAGCUGAAAAUUCGAAUUUAAAACUUCGGAAACCAACCAUUAAACCUUUUGCCGAUUAUGUUUCAUAAAGUUUUUAUUUACAAAGGGUGGCAUCUUUGGUUUUCUUUUUCCUCUUUUCUAAUAUACUUUUUAAUAUAUUAUUUAUUCUUCAAAAAUUAGUUUCAACUAUUCAAACUUUACAUAAUUAUUUUAAAAAAGUCAUCUAAAACUUUUUUUUUAAAAAUAAACUAUAUAUUUUAUAAUUAAUUAAAAAUAUUUUUAAAAUAAAAUUACAAUACAAAAAAAAUAAAAAUGUACUAAAAUGAACUGGCCCGUAACUCGGCCCGACCCGGCCCGGCCCGGUUCGGGCAGUGGCCCAUGUUUGGCCAUAGCCCAACAAAAGGUCACCCGGACUGGCCCGGCCCGGAUGUUAUUUUGGGUUGGGCCGAGCCACCUUGUGGCCCGUUCCGGCCCGAAAUAUCUGGGCCAUGCCAAUCUGACGUGGCCGAGAUUACACCCCUAUGGACUUGAUCGUUACAUUUUAUAUGAGAGCCGAUUCAUUAUGAGAUGGAUCUCAUAUAGCCUGGUGAUCUUAGGCUACAGAAGCACUAGAAAAUUAGAUCCCGACUAGAAUAUCGUGAACUAGAGAAGAGGAGUAUGAAACCACAUAAUUAAUUUUAUUUUUAAAUAGAGAUGGUCAUUUGUUCCGCAGGGUCUCUGAUACAUUUUAUUUAUUUAUUUAUAGGGGUUAUUGGGUUACACAUAGUUAGAAUUACACUGCAGUUGUAACUGUAUGCAAAUCUAAAUCUAAUGUUUCUUUUGAUACAUUUGAAUUCAAUUGCUACAGUUACAAUUUCACGAAAAGGCUCAAUUGCAAUAGUUGAAACUGCAGCUAAAUUAGUCGUAGUUCCAACUGAAGCACUUGAAAAGAGUGAUUUUAAAUAUAGAUAAGCUUAUCUCCCUAAUAAAUAUUUGUUUUUUCUUUCCUACAUAGAGGGUAAUCUCACCCUCUUAUAUAGAAAAAAAGAUAGAAAUUCGUAAAUAUACUUCUCAACUAUACGCAACCAAAUAAAAUAUUUAUAACUGCAACACUCUUCUGCAUGCAAUCAAACAAGAUGCAUAUAAUUAUAAUUACUGCAUUCCAAUUGUAUACACUUUUAACCUUACUACGUACAUUUAUAAUUUUGUCGGACCCUCUUCGUUUCUCCAUAACUAAUUUUUAGAUUGAAUUGAAGUUCAUAUGGAAAUUUUUUUCUAAACCGCUGCUUGCUUGAUAGAAAGUGAAUGGCUUCAAAAGUGUCGCUACUAUCCCAAUUUUUUUUAUUGUUUUAUUAAAAAUUUCGACACUAAUACCUAAAAAGGUGAAAGAAAAGGGCUUUUUUAUAAAAUAACCCUCCAAAAUUUAAAAAUUAGAGAAAUAAUCCUGUCAAAAUUUUAUUUGAAAAAAUAACACCCAUUUUGCCACGUAAGGGUCACGUCAGAUUUUUGCUAUGAAUGCGGUGAAUCAUUCACCGCCUUCACAUACAUAUAAUGAAGGCGGUGAAUAAUUUACCACCUUUAUAAUAUAUAUGUGAAGGCGGUGAAUCAUUUAGUGCAAAAUACUUCAAAUUUAUCGAAAUUUGUCUAAGUUCUGAAGUUAAACACAGAUAAGACGAUGAAUCAUUCACCGUCUUCACAUAUAUAUUAUGAAAGCGGUGAAUGAUCAUUCACCGCCUUCAUUAUAUAUAUAUAAAGACAGUGAAUCAUCCGCCGCCUUUAUAGCAAAAAUCCAACGUGGCGAAAGGAGGGUUAAUUUUUCAAACAAAAUUUUGAUAGGAUUAUUUUGCUAAUUUAAAAUUUUUGGAGGGUCAUUUUAUAAAAAAGCCCGAAAGAAAAUUACAGUUGUUAAUUUUUUAAUUUUUUGUUUCUAUUUUUUAAUCUCUGAUAAUUGACUUCGACGUAAUCCUAGACAAAGUAAUUUGCGGCAUUUUUAGAAUUUAACUUAUGUCGAAUCAAAUAACAAAAACACAUAUUUACGACUAAAAAUAAUUUUAGUUCCCUCCACUUUUCGUUAAACAAACAUGCUCUGGACUUAGCUCCGAGUCUAAACUCGGUAGCGACUCAGUUGGGUUUCGUUCACGAAACCCAAAUUGAAUCCGAACCUAACCCGAACAAAUCGACCCUUGCGGUUUCGUCCAAACAAUGCCAAGAAAUUUGCACUCGCGGUCGCAAACCAACCACACCUAACCAUUUUGGACCCUGUCGAAUUCCCCGAGCCACUAAAUUUCCGCCACGUGUAGCUUUAAUUCUCACGCUAACGUAUUCAUUUCUAAAAGCUUAGGUCCCAUACACAUUCCCACCUAACUUAAGCCGUUACAUUUUUCACAAGUAAUCAAAAAUUAGCUAUAGUCGCUAACUACCAUAACCAACCCUCAAUCUACCUCAAAUUUCAUCAUACACCCUCUUACUAUAUAUAUAUAUAUAUAUUAUAUAUAUAUAGACACACACACAGGAGUACUUAUCAUCUUUAACAAGUUCUCAUAGUACAAAAAUUUCAUUAAUCCCUCAAAACUUAGAUCAAGAGAUAUGGAGUUCAUUAAGCAUAAUGUUAGGGAGAUAAUGCUUCUACUAGCCGUGAUUUUAGUUUUUGGGGCUGCGCCGAUCUCCGGGCAGGUCGCGUCGUCGUGCACGAGCUCCCUCAUUUCGAGCUUCACUCCGUGCUUCAACUUCCUCACCGGGAGCACCAACGGCGGCGGCAGCGGGUCUCCGACCACCGACUGCUGCAAGUCCCUUGCUGGGGUCAUUACCAGCAGCACCAGCUGCAUGUGCCUGAUACUGACAGGAAAUGUCCCUUUUGGCCUACCAAUCAACCGGACCCUGGCCAUCUCGUUGCCGCGGAUCUGCCGCUCGAUGUCGGUGCCCCUGCAGUGCAAUGGUUCGAUCAUUUCGACUCGAAAUCUCUACGAAUUUUUUCAGACGUAAUGAAUUUGGCCGAGUUUUCUCUUAAGUGACAAAUUUUUAUUUUUAUUCUUAUUUGUGUGUUGCAGAUGUUGCCACUCCACUUCCUGGCCCAGGUACUCUUCUUUAAAUUGUGAUAGAAACAUUUACACUUCUCCCCAAAACCUUAUAAAUAUUUACAUAGUAGCCCCUAACUGCAAUCCACAUUUUGUAACCUAACAGGUUCUUCUAUUGCAUUUGGACCUGCACUUCCCCCACUAGGUAAGAUUUUUUUUUUUUUAAAAAGUUUGAAAUGGUCAUAUGACAAUAUACACUAACAUUUUAUUUUUUUUUCAAAAAUGUUCGAAUUGAUCGAUGCAGCACCGACGCCACCACAAUCGUCGAUUCCUCCUCUAACCACAUUCUCACCACCAGAGGCGACUUCCCCAUCCCCCUCGUCGUCGGUCGAGCCCGUGGCUCAAUCACCGACCACUGGAGAUCGAGGAGUAAACCAAGGCCAACGACCGCUCGUGUUAUCGAGCUCGGCGACGAAACACUCCCAAUACUACUUAGGGUUUACUGCACUUUUCAUGUUUGUGUUUAGAGUGGUGGUUUUCUGAAUUAAACGAGAUUAGAGUUGCAUAUUUAUCGGUGUUCGCCGAGUGAUAUACAUACAUACAUACAUACAUACAUACAUAUAGAUUUAUAUAAAUAUAUAUAGGGAGAAAAGAGUGUUAUUGUUUGUUGUUGUUAUUGAUAUUAUUUUGGAUUGUAAUUAUUUCUGAUAUAUUGAUAAUAUAAUUGGUUUGAUUUGUUUAAGUUUUCGCAUCUUGAUUGGAGUUGCGACUUUGUUCUAAUAUCAUGAUAAAUAAUAUCAAAUAUAUAAUGUUUUUCAGAAGUUAAAGCUAUUGGAAAAGAGAUUUUUAGUGGUUUAUAUUCAAUAGAAUCUUUUCAAAAUCACAUAAAAUUUAUAUAGUAAAAGAAAGUGACAGUCAUACUUAACAAGUUGUAAUUAAAUUUAAUAGCUUUGUUACGUACAUUUCUCAGUUAAUUAUAUAUAAUAGUACUAAAAAACUAUUAUAUUUAAUUCAUAAAAACUUUAAGUAUUUUAAAAUUAUGUUUGACAAAUUGUGAUCCUUGAUUUAAUUGCUCUGUAAUUUUGAAAGAAUUAUAAAAUGUUACAAUUCACACUAUUAUAGCUUUGGCUCUGUUUGAAAUUAUAGAAAAAUUUCGUUACAUGUAGCGAUCAAAAAAAAUAAAUAAAUUAUAUACAGUGAGAAAUUACCGUAAAUAAGAUAUAUUAUUUAUAUCUUAAAAAAAUAGAAGUAUAUCUUCAUAUGCUUUAGUUCCAAUUUGAUUUUGCUAAAUAACAUUAGGUCGCCCUUGAUACCAAACCAUUCAUUAUAUGACUUUUAAAGGUAAAAAUAUACAAAACUUAUUUGAACUAAUAUUUAUUUUAAUACAACAACUUAUGUGCGUGCGCGCGUGUAAUCUUACACUCUUCGCAUCUAAGGGUUCACAAAACUCUUUUGAACUUUAGUUUAAAAAAGAAAAAAAAAAUGUUCAUAAGACUAGAAGGCGGAUACCGGACUUUGAAUAAACGUAUAUAAAUCUUACACCAAAUUUAGAGGUAUACAGAUAGCAUUGCUCUUAAAAUAUGUUUGGUUUAAAAUAUUUGAGACUUAAAAUGAGAAUCGAAAUAAACCAUUUUCAUUGUUAGUGCUUGGAUUAAAGGAUUGAAUUUCGAUUUUUAUUUAAGAGGAUUUAUUUGAAUCCUUCAAAAGUGACUCCCACUUCCAUUGAGUGAUUGAAAAAAAAAAAAAAAUCACUAAUAAAUUAUUUGAAUUUAAAUAUAAAUCAUAUAAAUUCAUUAGAUUAAAUUAUAACUUCAAAUUUAAAUAUGAAAUAUUAAUUUUGAAUAUAAAUUCUAAUUUUUAAAUUUUUAAUUUAUAAUUCUAAAUUUAAAUUUCGACUUGGAUCUUGAAUUUGAAUUGCAAAUUCCAAUUUUAAUUUCAAAUUGUUAUUUCAAAUUUAGAUUCAAAUUUUCAUUAAAAUUUUGAAUAACAGAUUUAAAUUUUGAUAAAAAUGUAAAUUUUUUAAUUUCAAUUUGAGCAUGAUUAUGAUUAUGAUUCCGAUUCUUUUUAUGAAACAAACAAAUUAUUGUUUUAUCAAUUCCAUUUUCGAUUUCAGCUCAUUUCCAUUCCUAUUCCCAUUUCGAUUCCUCUUCUGAAUGCCCUUAAAGUAACCAAUAAGUCAAAAUUUUGCACCAAAAAAAAAAAAAUCAUAAAAUGAUAUAAAUUAAAUAAAUUGGAAAGAAUAGAUGUGAAAAUUAAAAUUUUAAAAAGUUUAGACAAUCAGAUUAGAAUGGGCUAUAAUUAAAGAUAAGAUCAAUAAAAUUUUGUCCAAAUGGCCUUUUUAAAGAGCAAUUAGUUGUUGACCAAACCUCAGCAAUGAUUUCACUUUCCAUAAAAAUCAAAAGGAUGUGUUGACCAAGAAAGGAGGUAGCAUCCAAAUUCACCAACAAUUUAUCAAACUACUCUAUUGUGCAAUGUUGCCCAAAAGAUUAUUCCCCUACUAAGAAAUAAUUUAAAAAGAUUUUUAAUAUUCCUGAUAACUUAUCAAACUGAUAUUAAAUAAAUCAUGUCAUGUGCAUUAAGAAAAGAAAUAAUGUCAGAUGUAAUAACCAAGAUUUUUAUGUCACUAAUAGCCAACUACUCAUCCAAAAUUUAAAAAUCGGUUUUCUUUCAAAUAGUAAGGCAGUGUUUGGAUUUGGGAUAAGGGGAGGGAUAACCCCUUAUCCACCUUUAUACCCAAACGCAAAUUUUUUAUCCGAAAAUAGUAAUUUUCGGGUACCUAAAAUAAUCUGGUAUAACUAUGUCCACCAACAUCUUCAUUUUCUAUAUAUAACUAUCCACUAUUUUUCUUAUUCCAUAUUAUCUAUUCAAACGCUAUUUUUCUUAUCCUCGGAAAUAACCCAAUUUUCAUCCAAACGCUAUUUUUCUUAUCCCCAUACUUGUAUCUAUCCCUGUAAUAGCUAAUUCUUGCUUAUACCUGAACCAAACGCUAUCUUUAAUGAAUAAGAUUGAUUUACCGACCAUACUUAGUACAGAUGGCGAAAGUUUUUGAGUUCGAAUUACGCCAGACUCACAUCAUUAUUGAUUUUCUUUUAUUUAACUCAAAUCACAUCUUGGGCCUAAUAAAGUCUCAAACCUAAACAUGAGAGAGAUAGUUCUCUGCACGCUGUAACUUUUGUUGAUAUUUAUAUAUCUAGCUGAAAUAAUUCCCAAAAAAAGUAAACGAAAAAGUUAUUAAGACUAUCGACAAAAUCUAAGCAAGACUAAAUGAAUAUAAUUUGUCUACAAUAAAAUAAAACUGACUCAGUUAAUAACUUUAAAUCCUUUCCGUAUAAUAUUCCAAGUUGGUCAACAUUUGUUCUCCUCCAAGAACAAGCAACUCCUUAAUUUCAAUGUACUAGUAGAACAGUCAUAUUUAAAUAUAAACCUCCUUAGAAUCACUUACACUCAAUCAAACAAUUUCGUUGCAAAGUAGGAGAAACCGUUCACCAACAAAACCCCACCUCCUCGUACACCCCCCCCCCCCUUAUAAAAACCCCUCAACCUUAAACAUAAUUCACCACCCCAACACUCAAAAGCAAGCCAAAUUAACCAAAUAUAUAUCUCUCUUAGCUUUGUUUGUUCAAAAUGUCUCUCAAAAUGCUCGCGCUGUUCUUACCAGUUCUUGCCGCUCUGUCGGUGGUUCCGAGCGCGUCGGCGCAGUCGAGCUGCACGGCGGCGCUGGUGAGCCUGUCGCCGUGCCUGAACUACAUCACGGGGAACGAGAGUGAGCCGUCGAGCUCGUGCUGCUCGCAGCUCGCGACCGUCGUCCAGGCGGAGCCGCAGUGCCUCUGCCUGGUGCUCAACGGCAGCGCGUCCUCGAUCGGGAUCGCCGUCAACCAGACGCGCGCCCUCGGCCUCCCCGCCGCCUGCAAGGUCCAGACCCCGCCCCUCAGCAAGUGCAGCAGUAAGAACACCCCCGGGAACACUUUGAAUUGAAGUUGUCUGCGUAGUCCCUCUGCUAUCCUGAUAUUGCACUUCGAACCAUGAACUUUUCCGCAAUAUCUGGAUCAUUUUAGGGACUAUGCAUACAUUUUACCCCUUCAAUUGCUCAAACUACUAAUGUUAAAUGCAAUUUUUUUUUAAAAAAAAAAGGAAAUUCUUAUUAAAUUUUGCUAUGAAAUCUUUAACAGCAAAUGGUGCACCCACUGCUGCUCCAACCACACCAUCCACAACCACCCCAUCAACGCAAAAUGCUCCUGCAGUAAACUCUCCACCAGGUAAGAGAAUUUACUAAAUAUUAAUGAAUUAAUUACUAAUUAGAGGAUAAAUGAGGGAUUAAAUCCAAACUAUUCCCCCUUUUUCUACCCAAAAAAAGAAAAGAGAAAAAAGCUUAGGGAUGGUUAGUCUGGUCAAAAAUCUGAUUUUUCUCUCAGUUGGCCUGGAAUUUUUAAAAGAUACAACCAAGAGAAUAAGAAUAGUAAUCCUAUUUGACCUUCUCAUGGAAAAAGCUUGUCCUAAAAGUUAACAUCAGACAAGAAAACUCAGAUAUUCCAACAACAAAAAAAUCUAGAAGCAUUUGCACUAAAAUCCCUCAAGAGCUUCUCUCUACAGCAGAAUCAGAAACUACAUAUUACAGCUACUAGUUUUUGGAGUUCAAUAUCUAGUUUCAGCUUUUCACUAGAACAGCAUCUAUAGACUUUUCUAGCUGCAAAACAACUACAGUUAAAAGUAGAAACAGAAGUGCAACGAAAGAGGAAUUUACGAACAUUGAACCUCGGUGCAGGUGAAGGUGGAUCGAAGACAGUGCCGACGUCAGCCGGAAUUGCUCUUCAAACCCCGGCCCCUUUCAUCUUCUCCCUUCUCUUUGCUGCGGCAUUCGCCUCCUCGGCCUUUUAGACCUGCUUCUUGUUCAGCUGUUCUUAGGAGAUACUGUGACAUGUUAGAUGCAUCAUUUUGAUUCAUUUGGAUGUAUGGAUUACAUCCUAUGUUUAUGUUUGCUUUUGUGAGUGUGCUUUAUUUUUGAGCUUAUUUCAUUUGUACUACAUUACUUAUAGAUAAUAUUUCUUUUCCUUCAAUAAUAAAUCAACACAGUUUACACUUACAAAGACAUUUCAAAAGAAAUCAUGUAUCAGGAAACCAUAAUAAGCAGGUAAACAAAAGAUUACUGCAGUACGGAAAAAAAGAAGAAAAAGAAAGGUGCCGUAAAUGAUUAAUUAACUGUGAUUAGUAACAGCCAAAAUGCAAACAAUAAUUUCUUCUGAAAACUUAUUUUAAAGAUCAACAACAUGUAUGGAAAACUUCAAAAAGCCCCCUUGUAGCCUAAUGCAUUUGCAGUGUAUGACCUUGCAAUUUACAGCUUCGCACUUUGCCACUAAAAUAAUAACUUUAGCUAAAUUUUAUGAACCACAAGAUAGCACGAUGUGACACUUUAUUAUCUUAUGAUAUGCAGUUCACCAUCCCGUAAUACAUAAAAAAAUAGUCUAUAUGGAACAAACGCAAAAGCAGCAAACCAAUAUAGAACUACCGAUUUGAAACACGGAAUAGUAAACUGCAAAUGUGCUGAUUACAGAGGGCCAUCCACAAGUUCGUCAGCGUGCCAUAUCAUUCAUAUAAGUCACUUAAGUAUGAUGGCAAAAUUCUAUCAAAGUAUAAAUGAGGGAAUUUAUGCCUAAGCAAUCAGCUAGUCAUGAAGCUAACUUUCGCAUCAGGAAAUGAGAAAAUCCCCUAGCAUUCUUAUCAUGUACAGGGAUAUGUGAGCAUCGACAGUGAAAUAGAUCAAACUAUGCGCUUCAAAAUUCAUUAGCUUCAAAUCAUUCAUGGCAAGUAAAAUAAGAUGUAGAAUAACAGAUAAAUAAUCAAAAAAAGAAAUAAUAGAAUCAUCAACAUCAUACCAGUAAAAGUUGAUAUUUGCGAAAUUCUUUGCUAUUCAGAACAAGACAUCUAUUAAAGUUUCCUCAGAAACUAAAACCAUGAAACAUGAGGACACCAAAUGCAUAAAUAUUGAAGUUUACAGGACAGUUAUAUUUUCGCCAAUCAAUAUAUUUUCGCAUCACUAAAUGAAAGACAAGAAGGAAUGUUUACAGAAGAAAGUUUCUCUGAAAGAAAGCAUGCUUGUUUACAAACAGUCCAGAUGUUCCGUUCUGUAUGAAUUCGCAUCCCUACAUUCAUUUGAAUCUAUUGAAAAGUCCGUUCAUAAGAAGACAGAAAUUAAGUUAAACCAGAUCAAACACUUUUAACUUAAUCACUCUUGAUGGAUUUACGCCAAGCGUACUCUCUCGCGCCGUCCUUGUCAACAAUCUUUAUCACGAAGUUCGGUGGGGCGAUGACCAACCUAGAUCGGAUUUCCAUUAUGCACUUGUCAACCAAAUCGAUAGCCUCUUCUAGAGACAUACCACUGUGGUAGUGCCGGUCCAUCAUCGACAAGCAAAAGUAGGAGCCGUAGCCGAAUGCACCCUUCUCGAUCUUGUGGAGUGUUGCUAUGUAGUCAAUGUAGUAGAGAGACGGGCCAAUGUCCUUAUCAUAGCCCGCCAAUAAAAUAUUGACAGAAUACGGAUUCUGCCAAAACAAAGCAUGAAAUCAUCAACCCUCAAAUAACUCAACUGAAAUAGCAUAAGAUUGAAAAUAUAACAAAAACACACAUAAAGUAUAAAACCAAAUAAGUUGUGACAACUGCUAGCAAAAGAGAGAAUUUUGGGGUUAAAAAGUUCUGUGCUCCAGGGGUUAAUCACUAUAAAUGCCAUGACUAAAUCAAACAGAAAGAAUAAGAUUUCUGUGUGGACAGACGCCAUCUACUGCCUUCUUUUUUACUAUCAAGCGAAACUUAAUGAGUUUCAUACCAACUUUCAUUUAAAACCACAAGUAACAACUAGAAAUAAAACUGUAGCGGAUAAAGUCAAUAGUUAGCAUUGUAUCUCGAGAGGUAUAGUAUUAUGUAGACAUCAGAUCCAAUAGAUGGAAGCCAGAGAAAAUAAUUUUCUCAAACAGAACUUAUAGCGGAGUUACAGAGAAGCAAGAAUAUAUCAGUUGCCAUAACUAAUAGAAUUUUGAUAGGUAAUUUGUUAGUACAACACAAAAUUAUGGACUGACAAAGGGCACUAGAAAAAAAGUAGUGCCACAAAAUUUGAAGAUUAUCAGGAAAAACAAAUCAAAAUAAUUCCAGUUCAACACCUUCAACUCAGGAAUAAUAAUACCAACAUGAUUCAAGUAUUGACGACGGUAAACAACUUUAUUAAAUAGGACCAAGUAUGACUUGUACAGUUCCCAGUACCUCUGGAAAAUCUGUUAUUCUCAUGUAGCUAAAUUGAGCUUAGUUGACUCUAUGGUGAGAUUUUGUCAAAAAUCACUUAAAUAAUGAAAAGGAAAUGUACUAUGACAAUAGUGAUAAUACUCAGAUAGUAAGUAGAAUCUAACAAAAGAGUAAAAAGAAUCAAAUCAUAUACUGGGCCUUGCUGUAAGGUCAAGUUAUUUCAACGCCAUCGGUACAAUAGUUGGUGUUCAGUAGGGUCUUCCGUAGGCUACUCCUAGAGAAAAUGUUUGACAAACUAGAACUUAAUAAUAAAAUAGCAUACAGCAUAAAAAAGUCAAUAGUAACAAAUCACAUGAUAAGCAAGUAAUAGAUAUGUGCUAAUCUAGAAUCAGCACAAAAGGGAAUGGUAGAUGCCAAGUACUGAAAAUGUUAAUUCUUGAUGAAACGAGCUAUGUGACCUGAGACAACUACAAGAACUACACAAUACACACACUAUCCUAGAAAAUCACAAGUGGGCCUCCAAUAUUCGAAAUGGCAACUAGCUCAAUCUUUUACCAGUUGAAAACAACUCAUUAUCAAUUAUUAAGGACCAGAAAGAUUACCUACGAUGCAGGCAAAAAUGUUAACAUGAAAUUUGUGCCUCAAACCAAAAACUCAAAUAUUAUCUAAAUAUCAAACAAAUGCAACUCUAAUGAAAGUUACAGGAGAAAGUAAUACGCAUUGCGUACAACAAUACACAGGCUAAGUGAUGGUUGAAAGGAAAAUUAUGAAUCUAGAAGUUACUAUGACCAACACAUGAAAUUACUUGUGUUUCUCAUCCCAAUGAAAAGUGUGAAUGAUCCUCCCAUCCAGAAUACUAAUUAACAAUGACCGAUGUGAUAAUGUCGUUCAAGAAUCAAUGCUCCAUAACUGAUAAGCUAUAAUAGAAGCAAUAAGAGUCUAGAUGAUUAGUUGCCAGAUCAAAAAGAUCUCAUUUUCCCCUUAAACCACAAAGAAACUAAACAUAUACUAAUACCCUGCCUCACUGUGUGAUAUCUUUCACUCUAGUAUUUUCUCUAUUAACACAAGACGAAUAUUAGGUUGGAAAAAAAUCCCUAAAACUCAAACAAUACAAGCACUUUAGAAGAAGCUAAAAAGAGCGAUUCAAGAUUGAAACCCUAGAUCUCAAAAUCAAACCACUCAAGCGGUUCACCAAAUUUGAUCUACGCAAACAUAAAUGGUACAAUUCCUAACUCAAGAUUAAAACCCUAGAUAUUCAAGAUCAAUCAAAAGAAUAUCAAAUUGCCUCAAAAAUAACAAAUUCCACACAAAUCGUGGGGCCAGAGAUUCCAAAUUCAACAUUCCCAAGCAAUGCAGCAAAGUUGAUCUACAGAAACAUAAAAGCAACAACCAUUUUAAAUUUCCGCCACUCCUACCUUAAGAUCAAUACUCUAGAAAUUCAAGAUCAAUCAAAAGAACAGCAAAUUGCCUCAAAAAUGCCUAAUCCCACAGAAACCGUGGGGGCUAAACCACAAUUCUCGAAACAGAUCGCAAUCAAACCGGAAAAAAAAAAAAGGAAAAAAAGAAACUACCUUUCGGAGGGCAGUGGCGAGCUCGCCGCGGGUGAAGUUGGCGGCGGCGGCGGUGGUGAGGGGGAUGCCGUUGCGGAACUGGUAGAGGUGGACGUUCUUCUGGAUGUACUCCGUAAACUGCGCCCUGCGACCAAUCGCAUCGAGAUCGAGAUCGAGAUCGAGAGAUCGAGAUCAAACACAAAAGAGAGACGAAGAUGACGAUGAUGAUGAUGAUGAUGAUGAUGAUGAUCGGGUUAGGGUUAGGGUUAGGGUUAGGGUUAGGGUUUAAGGGGAACGAACCGGUCACCGGCCUCGCCGGAGGCGCCGAGGAGCUUGUGGGAGUCGAGGAGCAUGACCUUGUCCUCGUCGGACUUGUGGACGAGGAUGCUGUGCACCGCGGAGCUGUCGGCUGCGACCACGGCGAAUCCGUCGCCCACGAGGCCGAAGACGCACUCCAUUGCUGGAGCUUCGCGAGAUCGAGAGGAGGAGGAGGAGGAGGAGAGGGAGAAGGUGAGCGAGAAGGGAGUAGGGUUUCGCUCUAUUUGAAGAGAAAGUAUACACACACAACACAAGGCCUACUUUGGCUACAAGAAAAGGCUCGGGUAAAUUUGUAUAAAGACACCUCAACUACGAGCUAUUUAUAAAAUCGGCCCCUUUCAAAAAUUUUUGGAAUUAAAUAAUUUUAAUUUUUUAAAAUUUAAGAAUUUUAAUUAAUAAUUCUAAAUCUAAAUUAAAAACCCUAUUGCAUCAGCCAUAAUUAGUGUAAAUCAUUAGAAGGUAAAAAUUAGUUUAUUUAGCAACUAGUUUAUCUUGACCUCAAAAAAAACUUUUAAGGGUUUUUUUAUUUUUGUGUGGAUGCNUUGGUACUAUCAAUAAUAUAGUAGUCGAACUCUCUCUCUCUCUCUAUAUGUAUAGUCCUACUAUUAUACUCUUAUCAGUAUAGACCCUUUUAUACUCACAAGUUUUCGGCCGUUAGAUCUACCCCCUUGACUAUUUUAACCCAUUAGAUCAUAUUGUGCAACCAACCAUCCACUCAACUCUAGGGAACUACUAUUAUUAUAUAUAUAUAUAUAUAUAUAGAGUCCGGCUACUAUACUAUCGGUAGCACGGAACGCUCCGUGCUACCAAAUUGUUUUCGAUGAUGCGGUUUUCAAAUUGACGAUCGGCUCCGUUAGACUUGAUCUACACUAUUGAAAGUGUUUGAAAGCUAAAUUUCAAAUUUUUUCGACAUUAUUUGACUAGUGAUCAAACGAUCUCAAAAUUGAUAAUUUUAAUAGCCGAUGUGGUGUGUUUGAGAGUUUAACGGUAUAAAACAAUCUAAAUCCGAUGAAAAUUUUAUAAAAAAUUCUUUUCACUAUUUAGAGUAAGAUCAGUAUAUCUGAUCUUGAAUUUAAUCUGUUAUCAUUAUUUUUUAUGAGAUUUUUAUAUUCAGCCGUUCAAUUUUAGACUACUUGUUUGAUAAGUAAAUGGUAUCGAAAAAUUAUGAAAUUUAGUUUCUAAAUACUUUUAAUAGUGUAGAUGAAGUCUAACGGAGCCGAUCAUCGAUUUGGAAGUCGCAUCAUCGAAAACAACUUGGUAGCACGGAGCGCUCUGUGCUACCGAUAGUAUAGUAGCCUAGCUCUCUCUCUCUCUCUCUCUCUCUCUCUCUCUCUAUAUAUAUAUAUAUAUAUAUAUAGUUCGGCUAUGGUGCUUGUAAAUGUACCAACUACUUGGUACUUGUAAGUUUUUACCGUUAGAUCUACGUCUUUGAUCAUUUUUAACCAUUAGAUUAUACUAUUUAACCAACUACCCACUGAACCCUAGGGGGCCCACAUCAUCCUCACCGUACAUCCCUUAAUCCAAGGACCGAAAACUUAUAAGUACCAAUGACUUGGUACUUUUAAAAAUAUAGAAGCUCAAUUUUAUAUAUAUAUAUAUAUAUAUAUAUAGUGAGGUUACUAUGCUAUCGGAAGCACGGAGCCUUCCGUGCCUUCCGUGCUUCUAGCUCGUUUUCGAUGUUGCGACUUUCGAAUCGUCGAUCGGCUCCGUUAAACUUGAUAUAGAGUAUUUGGAGUACUUAGAAAAUAAAUUUUAUUAUUUUUCGAUGUCAUUUGCCUAGUGAUCGAAUGGGCUCAAAAUCAAUAAAUUUCAAUGGCCGUAGUGAGCGUUUGCAAGUUUAACGGUGUAGAAAUAUCCAAAUCACGUGAAAUUUUGAUAGAAAAUUUUUUAUACUAUAUAAAACAAGAUCAAUAUCUUUGAUUUAAAAUUUUAAUGUCAUAUUAUUAUAUUUUGUAAGAUUUUUAUUUUCAGCCGUUGAUUUUGAGCCCCUUCGUUCACUAGGCAAAUGAUAUCGUAAAAUNNUCUCUCUCUCCCUCUAUAUAUAUAUAUAUAUAUAUAUAUAUAUAUAUAUAUAUAUAAACUUAUGCAAGAAUCUUAUAGUAAUUGGACAUGGAAAAUAUAAUAAGAUAUAGAUAAUGGCUUUGGGCAUAUAUUUAGUUUGGAAAAUACUCAAAAACAUAAGAAUCAUAAACACCAAAUUAAAGCUUAAAUUGUUGAAAAAGCAAAUUGAAAAAGGAGCUUCAAGAUUUAUCAAAAACUAAAAAAAAUGACUAAAUUACAAAAAAAUCUCCUAUAAAUAUCUAUUUUCUCACUUUUUCUUCGUGACUUUCAAAAGUCUAUAUUUUACCUGCUUAAAAUUUCAGAAAUAUUUUCAAAAAAAUGCGGCAUUACUAAACAGGACAAAAUGAUCAAAUUAUCCUCACUAUUUCUAUUAAAAAAAUUUAAUAUAUUUUUAUAUUUUGAAGGACAUUUUUAAUAUAAAUUAUAAUAAAUAAACGGAAUAAUAAUAAAACCCUAAAAGACUAAAUACAAUAAUUUAAAAUUUUAAAAAGAUAAAAUACAAAAUUUCAAAAAUUAUAAAAAAAAUAAAAAAUUCAUAAAAAAAUUUUCUAUAAUUUAAAAACUGCAAAGAACACUUAUCUCAAAAAAAAAAAAAAAAAAAAAAAAAAAAAAAAAAAAAAAAAAAAAAAAAUAGAUAAAUAAAUUGAAGAACAAUGUAAAGCUAGAUCUUAGGAGAGCAAUUGACUAUAUAUACAAAAAAGCUCUUGCAAUACAUUUCCAGUACACUCUCCAGUACAGUUCACAACUCACAACUCACACAACUCCUGCAACUUGCAUGCAUGCUGCUACUUAUUUAAAGCCUAACUACAGGAAACUGGGAGUCCACUGAACCAGCUCAGAAACUGGUUGAGCCGCGACCGCGACCGCCGCCGCCGCCACGUUGGUUCGGUCCAGGGAAAAAGGCCGACUCUUGCUGCGCGUUGAAGACCUCGUCCACUUCUCUCGCUGCCACGUCGAAUGCGAGCUCCUUAGCCUCCUUCUCCAUCUUCUUUAGUAUAUUAUUUCUCCCUGCGCGAAACCAAGUUCAGGAACAUCUGAUUCAAUAUAACCAACCAACGAAGCUACAAUUCGCAUGUUGAAAAUCAAUAUCGAAAUCAAUACCGAAACAUAUAGUUUUAGUUAGAAGUUCUAAGAUCUUCGUAUAAUUCUUGAACCAAAAAUGAAACCCAAAUAUUGGUUUACAUUUAGUUAGUUCAAUAUUGUGCAGGACAAUUAUACAUGCAAAUUAUGUUCUUUUUUUUUUAUUCCCGUUUAGGCCCCAAGGACCUGGUCAACCUAUACAAUCUUACCAAGCGAUGUAAGAUUUAUCUCACACUAUUGUUUAAUGAACUAAUUCCGAUAACAAAUGUAACGAUUCGACCCACUAAUAGUAAUAAUCUGUUGUUCCUAAACCACCAGCCAAAAAUACUUAAGUCCAGUUAUUACUAAGGGCACGUUUGGUUCGAGUUAUGUAAUAUUAUAGAGUAUUUCGAUAUAUUCAUAUAUCUUGGAUUUCUAAAUAAAAUUACUACUGAUACUGCAUUAGCGCGUUUAGUUUAAUACAGUAAUAUAAUACUGGAUUGCAGUGUUUAUAGCAUUAUUGAUUUGUCACAUAUCAUGAGUGUCUUACUAUACAUUUUCUCUCAU
rnacentral:lncRNA from 1 species